rnacentral:lncRNA from 1 species
AAAAAAGGAAAAUAAUGUUAUUUGCAUUGAAUGAACAAAUGAUUAGCAUAGUAGCAAAACUACUUAAAAUAAGAGAAAUUAGAAACCAAAAAGCAGCACAGCAUGAGUCUGGGCAUUGCAUGUUGGAUGAUCGAAACAGAGGUCUUGAUUGAGAAUCUAGAUCCUGAAAUACGCAGGCCUGCAAAAAGUCAUUCGAAGAAGUGUGCAAAACUCCCAUCAUUCAGCUUUCAUUUCUGCUUCCCGCUCGGCAGGAUCAUUCUGUACUGAGUUGUUUUUUGAACUGUGACAGAUAGGAAACUUAUCCCGGUGAGUUUUUAUUCCGGGAUGUCAAGGGCACAAUGCGUAGCUUAGUGAAUCUCCAUCAUCUUUGCUGCAGGUGUAAGUUAUGAAGAUAAUUGCUAGAUGGAGGAUUGUCACACUAGUGAUUUAGCAUCUGUUUCAAGCCAGAAUCAUCAUUAAAUCACAGAUUUGCUUUACAAGCAAUAACUAGGGGGAUUUCAUAUUACAAGUAGAGUCUUUAUUACUUACUGAAUCGCUUAUUUUUGAAGACAGAAGAAGAGGAGAGCUCACGUUUUGUUUUUACUGCACAAAUACUGCAUAUGGAAUCUGAGUGAGAAGUUACUCUCUAAAAAUUUCAACAGUGUAUUUGAGAGGUUCCUUUGAGCGAAUCUUCUGGCAGCAGACUCAAAGUAGUCAUCCAAUAAGUAGAAAUUCUUCUAUGGAAGGCCACACACAUUAAUAGCAGUUCUUUCAAGGCGAAUUAUGCCAAGCCAAUCCAGGAAUUGCUGCCAUGGCAUGUAGUUGUGGUCUCUUAAUGCGUUCGAGUAACUGCUGCACAAGGAAUCAAAUUAAUCUUUAAAUCCGUGAAAUUAAAAGGGAUGCAGAAUUACAAAACUAAUAAUAAUAACAAUAAUAAUAAGAUGGAUAGAAGCAUGACCUGCCAAUGCAUGAUUUCGGCAAGCCUUUGCAUUGGUUCACCACUUCCCAAUGCAUUAAGAAUUUCAACAGCAUCCCAGAAUUUCAAUAGCAUUGAUGAGCCUUGAUGGAGAAAUGAGAGUCCAGUUAAAAUUAUUCAAAAUGCAUAUUCACUCGCCAAGAACAUAUGCACCCAGAAAUCUCCUUAAAUAAAUAAGGUUUUAACAAGGUGAAUGCUUUGCUUUUUUCUUUUUUUUGGGAAGAACUUCAAAGUAAACAAAGGUAAGACUAUUGGGUUUCGAUGUUUACCUUGUGUGGGAGAAAUAUAAUGUUUACCCAGAAAUCACAUUUUGUUUUCAGAAUAAAUGGUUUUUUCCACCUCUGCAUUUGACAUUGAAAAAACUUGAAUAAAUACCAAAUAAUUAAGAAAUGCUGCUGAUUUAAUUUACAAAGGAAUGGUGCCUGUGAAGAGAAAUUGACAUAUGACAAUCACCUUCAGCACAAUCAAUUCUCAUCCUAAGUUAGAAGACUAAUCAAACUAAUUGCAGCAAUAACAUCUUUUCCACGACGUCUACUAACUUCUGCACAUAGAGUCAAAAUUAAUCCGUUAUAUCCAUGAAAAGAAUGAAGGCAGAAUUACAUUAAAAAAUGAAUAAAAAAUGAUGGUUAAAAGAAUGACCUGCCAAUGCAUUUAAAAUUUCUUUGAAUUUGUUUCCCACAUCCCAAUUUAAUAGAAUUUCAGGUGAGUAAAAAACAAAUAAAUGAUUCCUCUAGCUUGAUGAGCCUGUACAUGUGGGAAAAAAGAGUUAAAAUAUUAUCAUAAAGCAAAUAAAUUCUCAAUUAUACAAAAAAUAAAAGAAAAAAAAGGUACUCUGUAUAUUGAUCUUGAUUGUAAAGAAAUAAUGACAAAAGGAUACUUACGAACUCAAAGGUAAUACACUGCUCAUUUUGGAAGAAACACAUCCAACACUUCAAAACUUAUCCUUCAUUGAUCUGUGUAAAUAGAAUCAUAGAGUGAAGAUUUUCUCAUGUAAGUUUAAUUUGCAAAUUGGAGAGAAAAAGGACCAACUUACCGAAGCUUCAUCAUCCAGUAGAUAGCGGCCCUCUCUUUGAAUUCUUUGGUCAUCAACCUCAAUAUUUGGGAUGUGAGAAAUGCAAGCCCAAUCCGCACCCUUUCUAUUUCCACAUCUUUCCUUCAAUUGGGGACAGUCAUUGAUAUUCAAUUCUCGUAACGAGGUGAGGGAACGCAUCUCUUGAGGCAGACACUUUAUUGCCGGACAAAUCUCAAUGGUUAGUCUUUGAAGACAAGUGAGAUUCCGCAGUCCAUCUGGAGGUAGAGAUUCGAGCUCUUUAAUGUCCCUAAUCCGAAGGAUCUUCAAUUUAGAGAGAGGAGGAACGAUUGAGGAAGAAGAAGAGAUUGAUGGUGUGAAUAUUUGGUGCACAAGUUGUGGGCUUGCGUACCGCAAAGAUAGUGAAUGAUCGAGAGAUGGAAACUGAGGGAUGGAGGUCAAAUUAGGGCAGUCCUCACAAACGAAAUAUGAAAGACAAGGAAAUUGGAGUAGCUCAAGAGCUGUCGAAUCAUCCUCCUUCUUCUUCUGCCAUCCUUUAAGCUUAGGACAACGAUAUAGCUCGAGAGUCUUUAGGGAUGGAAAGAAUGAUGUUGGUUGUUCCUCAAUCUCCAUGUAUUCUAAAUCAUCUACUCCCCAAAUCUCUAGAUAUUGAAGAGAAGGGAUUUGAUCCAUUGGUGGGAGAUGCUGAUAUCUCUUGCAAUUCCAUAUACAGAGAUAGACAAGAUUCGUGAGGGAAGAGAACCAACUUGGGAACCUCCUGCCUCCAUAGUUAAGCACGCGUAACUCUUUAAGAUUGGGAUGUGGUUGGAGAUUUUGGAAUGCCAUUUCAUCUCUAUCAACAUUUGAAUCUUCCCAACUCUCCUCCCAACUUAAUUUCAAUGAUUGAAUGAGUGGCUUCUCUUUCAAAUUAACAUUUACAAUCUCAUUAUCCACACAUCCCAGAUUUCUAAUUGCAAGACGUCCCCUCAAAUUGCUAAGCUUAUUCAAUUCAUUUAUUUUUCCAACAUCCUUUGAGGAAAUAUGCCCUUUUGCCACUACGAACAGUGACAACGUCUGAAGUGAAGUCAACUGCCCAAGCCCACGUGGCAUAUGAGUCAAAGAGUAACAACCUUCACAAUAUAAAUGCCUAAGAUUCACAAGCUUUUUAAUAUCUUUAGGCAAUUCUUUGAGCUGGACACAAUAAGAGACAUCGAAUACUUGUAAAUUCAGCAAAUCCGUAAUAGAAUGUGAAAGUGCUUUAAGUCCCUUGUUAUCGGAAACAUCAAGAUAUCUUAUAUAUUUUAGCAUUUUUAUAGAAUUAUCCACCGUUUUAUAUGAAUGCAUUGUAAAUACACGUAAAAAUUUUAAAUUUUUAUAAAUAAAUAACUGAUCGUAAUCAUAUUUCUCAAGAAAAAGAAGCGAUCGUAGUCUUUUUGUGUUAUUAAGAAUUUCUUUUGAUGCAACAUCCAAAUUCAAUGCUAAAUGAUGGAUUUUAUCAUCAAUAUUUGAUGCAUCAGAAUUUACUAGCUGAAUUCUCUUCCCACCCACUGUGGUUGCGAGAUCGUGCAUUAAAUCAUGCAUUUUACAGCUUUCUACAUUUCCACAUCUAUCUCUUUUCACCUCUUGAAAAAAUGACCUCCACCACAGUUUCAUAAAAUAUUCAAGCCCAAUAUCUUCAAGACAAUCACUCCAACUUGGUGACUCAAUAAACCCUUGUGCAAUCCAAAGAUGGAUUAAUCUUUUCACAUCAAUCACAUAAUCUUUUGGAUAUAUUGCGCAAUAUGCAAAACAAUGCUUCAAAUGUGAUGGGAGAUGAUCAUAACUUAGCUUCAGUGUUGGCAUAAUAUCAUUACCAUCUUGACUUAUUCUUGAGAGUUCUUUUGUUAAAAAGGGCAGCCACUCAGUUUCUGGAUUUUUCGCAUACAAGAGACUUGCGAUAGUUUUUAUUGCAAGAGGAACUCCAUGACAUUUCUUCAAAAUCUCCUUUCCCAUCUCUCUUACAUUUGCAUGUUUUGGCUCCUGCCCCUCAAGUGCUACAUGCAAAAACAAAGACCAAGACUCAUCCGGAGACAACCCUUCCAAAACAUGUGGUGCUAUUGUGCCAGAUAUAUCUGCCACCAUUUUAGAGCGAGUGGUUAUUAAUAUCUUACUUCCACUAGAGCCACCCACUAAUAAUCUCUUUAAAUUCUGCCAUUUUUCUCUAUUCUCAUUCCACACAUCAUCUAGAACAAGCAGAUAUUUCUUCCCACUAAAAAUUUUUUCCAGUCUAGACUUCAAUGCUUCUAACCCAAGAUCUUCCGAUCUAUUCCCUGUUGCAGACUCUAGAAUCUUUCCAACAGUCAUUUUCACAUCAAAAGGUUCUGAAACACACACCCAUAUUCUUGGCUCAAAUGAAUUCUUAAUCAAUUCAUCAUUCAAUAUGAUUUGAGCAAGAGUGGUCUUCCCUAAUCCUCCAAUUCCAACAAUUGAGAGGACUGAAACACACUCUUCACCAUUGGAAGACAAUACAAGUUGUGUAAUUGCCUUUUUGUCACCCUCUCUCCCAAUAACCACUUCAGGUAAAGAGGACGUAGUUUGAUCCCUCCAUACAAUACUCUCCUGAUCAGUACGAACCUCUAAAUUAAAUUUUCUGUCAGCUUCAAUAUCAGCUAGCCUCUCCCUAAUCGCCUUAACUUUAUGACCCAUUUUAAAACCAUAAACAAGUUUAUUUGAAGACGAAAAGAAGAGACUUACCUCCUUUGUCAUUCUAUUUCCAGUCAUCACUCGGCGCCUUAGGGCUUCUGUGGCGAAGUCAUCUACCAAGUCAUCAGCAUCAUAAACCACUUCUUCUAGCCUCUCAAGCCAGCCUUUCACUUGACGGUUAAGUUUCUGCUGCUCCUCAGCAUCCAGAAGAACGUUGCGAAUACUAGAAACUGUGGCCUCAAGUUUCUUAAGCUCACCUUUGACGCCCCACCACAAUCCGAUCUCAUGAAGGGCUCGAGAACCCAGCUUGGUAAUGAUAUCUAUGACAACGUUAGAGAGAACUCCGUCGGCCAUUUUGGGUGUUUUGGUUUGAUUGUAAAAGGAUGAAAUGUUGCUGUGAAGAAGAAGAUGGUGACAACAAAUGACUAAUUUAAAGAAAAAAAAAAGUGAAGGAAAAAGCAUUCUUCUAAAUAAUUAUCUUCAGUCGGUCAGCUUUGGUGGGCGGUGGUUUGCUUUAAUUUAAAAAGUAAAAUAUAUUAAUAAAUUUAUAUAUAGAAUGAAAGUAAGUUAUGUUUUUUUUAAAAUAAUUUUAUUUUUUUAUUUAAAAAAUAUUUUUUAUUAAAUAAAUUUUGAGUGAUUCAAAUCGUUAAAAAAUAUAAAAUAUAUUUUUAAUGUUAAUGAAUUUUGGUUAUUGAAAUGAAAGUAUUUUUAUAUAUUUGUAUGAUGAUAUAAAAUUAUAUCAGGUGUAACAUGUAUAAUAGAUUUAUUAUGAGUUUUAAAGAUUUUAAAUGGAUCUGAAUUUCAAUACUGUAGCGAUUUGAUUUUUGAAUCGUUAUAGAAAUAACCGGUUGAUUUUAUGAAUUCUAGUACUGUAGCGAUUCGAUUUUUAAAUCGUCAUAGGAACAAUAAUCAUUAUAGGAACAAUAGGUUGAUUUUAUUUUUUGGGUAACAGAAUCUCAAGAGUAUCCUAUUGCAUAUUAUAGAUCCAUCGAUGUUAGAGAUGUUGUGUAUGCACACAUUCAAGAUUUGGAGAUUCCUUCUCUUCUGAGGUUCUAAAGAUUGUGUCAGCAACAUUAUCCUACAUUGCACCUUUCAAAAAAGUAUGAUUUUUUUUAUAUUUUUGCAUGCUCAUUUUGAACCAGCUAUAUAAAUGCUAAGAUCUAUAAUUAUUCGGAUAAUUGAGAAAUAGUUGUUUUGAAUGAUUAAUUUGAUCAUGGAAUAUAAUCUGAGUUGCAGAUGUGGCUCUAGAUUGAAUUACUUAACAAAGUAUGAGGUAUCAAAGGAAAAAGCGAAAACUUUGGGCAUUGACUUCAUUCCUUUGGAGGUUAGUUUGAAGGACACUAUUGAAAGCUUGAAGCAGAAGGGCUUCCUCAGCAUUUGAUUUUGGCUGUUGGAUAAAAAGCAAUGCAAAUAUUACAUUGGCCUUAGCUUCCUAUUGGUGCAAGAUCUUAUUGCCCUUCAAGAUUGUCUUUAUUUGAAAAAAGUGGACCAAUACAAUUUAUAAAAUAUAUAACAAUUUGUAUAUAACUGUGUAUAAACAUAUUACAUGUGUCACUUGUUUUAGUGAUAGAUGAAGUUCGUUUCAGGUCUGAUUUAUGAGGAAAUUACUUUUUUUUUUUUUUUUAUCUGAUUUCAGGUCACAUUCCAAAGAAUAAGACACAAGAAAAAGAAAAUGUAUAAUCCACCAAUUCUGAUUUAGUUCGGUCUUUUCAAAGUAUAUUCAGAUUUCAUAGCCAAUUCAUUUAAUGCCGUAUCUGAUUUCUGGUUCUUGUGAUAUGCUCUUACAAAAUUCAUCUAAAAUUCAGUGCUCUUACACAUUCUGGAAACACAAUUUAUACAAAAACUGAUUUCUCAGGAAAAAAAAGGAAAAUAAUGUUAUUUGCAUUGAAUGAACAAAUGAUUAGCAUAGUAGCAAAACUACUUAAAAUAAGAGAAAUUAGAAACCAAAAAGCAGCACAGCAUGAGUCUGGGCAUUGCAUGUUGGAUGAUCGAAACAGAGGUCUUGAGUGCGAAUCUAGAUCCUGAAAUACGCAGGCCUGCAAAAAGUCAUUCGAAGAAGUGUGCAAAACUCCCAUCAUUCAGCUUUCUUUCUGCUUCCCGCUCAGCAGGAUUACUAUGUACUGAGACAGAUAGGAAACUUAUCCCGGUGAGUUUUUAUUCCGGGAUGUCAAGGGCACAAUGCGCAGCUUAGUGAAUCUCCAUCAUCUUUGCCACAGGUGUAAGUUAUGAAGAUAGUUGCUAGAUGGAGGAUUUUCACACUAGUGAUUAAGCAUCUGUUUCAAGCCAGAAUCAUCAUUAAAUCACAGAUUUGCUUUACAAGCAAUAACUAGAGGGAUUUCAUAUUACAAGUAGAGUCUUUAUAACCUACUGAAUCGCUUAUUUGCGAAGACAGAAGAAAAGGAGAGCUCACGUUUUGUUUUUACUGCACAAAUACUGCAUAUGGAAUCUGAGUGAGAAGUUACUCCCUAAAAAUUUCAAAAGUGUUUUUGAGAGGUACCUUUGCGCGAAUCUUCUGGCAACAGACCCAAAGAAGUCAUCCAAUAAGUAGAAAUUCUUCUAUGGAAGGCCACACACAUUAAUAGCAGUUCUUUCAAGGCGAAUUAUGCCAAGCCAAUCAAGGAAUUGCUGCCAUGGCAUGUAGUUGUGGUUUCUUAAUGUGUUCGAGUAACUUCUGCACAAGGAAUCAAAUUAAUCUUUAAAUCCGUGAAAUUAAAAGGGAUGCAGAAUUACAAAACUAAUAAUAAGAACAAUAAUAAUAAGAUGGAUAGAAGCAUGACCUGCCAAUGCAUGAUUUCGGCAAGCCUUUGCUUUGGUUCACCACUUCCCAAUGUAGUAAGAAUUUCAACAGCAUCCCAGAAUUUCAAUAGCAUCCCAAUGAUAACUCAUACUUGAUGAGCCUUGAUGGAGAAAUGAAAGUCCAGUUAAAAUUAUUCAAAAUGCAUAUCCACUCGCCAAGAACAUAUGCACCCAGAAAUCUCCUUAAAUAAAUAAGGUUUUAACAAGGUGAAUGCUUUGCUUUUUCUUUUUUUGGGAAGAACUUCAAAGUAAACAAAGGUAAGACUGUUGGGUUUUGAUGUUUACCUUGUGUGGGAGAAAUAUGAUGUUUACCCAGAAAUCACAUUUUUGUUUUCAGAAUAAAUGGUUUUUUCCACCUCUGCAUUUGACAUUGAAAAAACUUGAAUAAAUACCAAAUAAUUAAGAAAUGCUGCUGAUUUAAUUUACAAAGGAAUGGUGCAUGUGAAGAGAAAUUGACAUAUGACAAUCACAUUCAGCACAAUCAAUUCUCAUCCUAAUUUAGAAGACUAAUCAAACUAACUGCAGCAAUAACAUCUUUUCCACGAAGUCUACUAACUUCUGCACAUAGAGUCAAAAUUAAUCCGUUAUAUCCAUGAAAAGAAUGAAGGCAGAAUUACAUUAAAAAAUGAAUAAAAAUGAUGGUUAAAAGAAUGACCUGCCAAUGCAUUUAAAAUCUCUUUGAAUUUGUUUCCCACAUCCCAAUUUAUUAGAAUUUCAGGUGAGUAAAAAAAGAAAAAAAUGAUUCCUCUAGCUUGAUGAGCCUGUAUAUGUGGGAAAAAAGUGUUAAAAUAUUAUCAUAAAGCAAACAAAUUCUCAAUUACACAAAAAAUAAAAGAAAGAAAAGGUACGCUGUAUAUUGAUCUUGAUUGUAAAGAAAUAAUGACAAAAGGAUACUUACAACUCAAAGGUAAUACACUGCUCAUUUUGGAAGAAACACAUCCAACACUUCAAAACUUAUCCUUCAUUGAUCUGUGUAAAUAGAAUCAUAGAGUGAAGAUUUUCUCAUGUAAGUUUAGUUUGCAAAUUGGAGAGAAAAAGGACCAACUUACCGAAGCUUCAUCAUCCAGUAGAUAGCGGCCCUCUCUUUGAAUUCUUUGGUUAUCAACUUCAAUAUUUGGGAUGUGAGAAAUGAAAGCCCAAUCCGCACCCUUUCUAUUUCCACAUCUUUCCUUCAAUUGGGGACAGUCAUCGAUAUCCAAUUCUCGUAACGAGGUGAGGGAACGCAUCUCUUGAGGCAGACACUUUAUUGCCGGACAAAUCUCAAUGGUUAGUCUUUGAAGACAAGUGAGAUUCCGCAGUCCAUCUGGAGGUAGAGAUUCGAGCUCUUUAAUGUCCCUAAUCCAAAGGUUCUUCAAUUUAGAGAGAGGAGGAAUGAUUGAGGAAGAAGAAGAGAUUGAUGGUGUGAAUAUUUGGUGCACAAGUUGUGGGCUUGCGUGCAGCAAAUGUAGUGAAUCAUCGAGAGAUGGAAACUGAGGGAUGGACUUCAAAUUAGGGCAGUCCUCACAAACGAAAUAUGAAAGACAAGGAAAUUGGAGUAGCUCAAGAGCUGUCGAAUCAUCCUCCUUCUUCUUCUGCCAUCCUUUAAGCUUAGGACAACCAUAUAGCACGAGAGUCUUUAGGGAUGGAAAGAAUGAUGUUGGUUGUCCCUCAAUCUCCAUGUAUUCUAAAUCAUCUACUCCCCAAAUCUCUAGAUAUUGAAGAGAAGGGAUUUGAUCCAUUGGUGGGAGAUGCUGAUAUCUCUUGCAAUUCCAUAUACAGAGAUAGACAAGAUUCGUGAGGGAAGAGAACCAACUUGGGAACCUCCUGCCUCCAUAGCCAAACACAAGUAACUCUUUAAGAUUGGGAUGUGGUUGGAGAUUUUGGAAUGCCAUUUCAUCUCUAUCAACAUUUGAAUCUUCCCAACUCUCCUCCCAACGUAGUUUCAAUGAUUGAAGGAGUGGCUUCUCUUUCAAAUUAACAUUUACAAUCUCAUCAUCCACACAUCCCAGAUUUCUAAUUUCAAGACGUCCCCUCAAAUUGUUAAGCUUAUUCAAUUCAUUUAUUUUUCCAACAUCCUUUGAGGAAAUAUGCCCUUUUCCCACUACGAACAGUGACAACGUCUGAAGUGAAGUCAACUGCCCAAGCCCACGUGGCAUAUGAGUCAAAGAGUUACAACCUUCACAAUAUAAAUGCCUAAGAUUCACAAGCUUUUUAAUAUCUUUAGGCAAUUCUUUGAGCUCGUCACAAUAAGAGACAUCUAAUACUUGUAAAUUCAGCAAAUCCGUAAUAGAAUUUGAAAGUGCUUUAAGUUUCUCGUUAUCGGAAACGUCAAGAUAUCUUAGAUAUUUUAGCAUUUUUAUAGAAUUAUCCAUUAUUCUAUAUGAAUGCAUAGUAAAUACACGCAAAAAUUUUAAAUUUUUAUAAAUAAAUAGCUGAUCGACAUUAUGUUCCUCAGACAAAAGAAUCGAUCGUACUCUUUUUGCAUUGUUAAGAAUUUCUUGUGGUGCAACAACUAAAUUCAAUGCUACAUGAUGGGUUUUCUCAUCAAUAUUUGGUGCAUCAGAAUUUACUAGCUGAAUCCUCUUUCCACCCACUGUGGUUGCGAGAUCGUGCAUUAAAUCAUGCAUUUUACAGCUUUCUACAUUUCCACAUCUAUCUCUUUCCACCUCUUGAAAAAAUGACCUCCACCACAGUUUCAUAAAAUAUUCAAGCCCAAUAUCUUCAAGACAAUCACUCGUACUUGGUGAUUCAAUAAACCCUUGUGCAAUCCAAAGAUGGAUUAAUGUUUUCACAUCAAUCACAUAAUCUUUUGGAUAUAUUGCGCAAUAUGCAAAACAAUGCUUCAAAUGUGAUGGGAGAUGAUCAUAACUUAGCUUCAGUGUUGGCAUAAUAUCAUUACCAUCUUGACUUAUUCUUGAGAGUUCUUUUGUUAAAAAGGGCAACCACUCAGUUUCUGGAUUUUUCGCAUACAAGAGACUUGCUAUAGUUUUUAUUGCAAGUGGAACUCCAUGACAUUUCUUCAAAAUCUCCUUUCCCAUCUCUCUUACAUUUGCAUGUUUUGGCUCCUGCCCCUUAAGUGCUACAUGCAAAAACAAAGACCAAGACUCAUCCAGAGACAACCCUUCCAAAACAUGUGGUGCUGUUGUGCCAGAUAUAUCUGCCACCUUUUUAGAGCGAGUGGUUAUUAAUAUCUUACUUCCACUAGAGCCACCCACUAAUAAUCUCUUUAAAUUCUGCCAUUUUUCUCUAUUCUCAUUCCACACAUCAUCUAGAACAAGCAGAUAUUUCUUCCCACUAAUAAUUUUUUCCAGUCUAGACUUCAAUGCUUCUAACCCAAGAUCUUCCGAUUUAUUCCCUGUUGCAGACUCUAGAAUCUUUCCAACAGUCAUUUUCACAUCAAAAGGUUCUGAAACACACACCCAUAUUCUUGGCUCAAAUGAAUUCUUAAUCAUUUCAUCAUUCAAUAUGAUUUGAGCAAGAGUGGUCUUCCCUAAUCCUCCAAUUCCAACAAUUGAGAGGACUGAAACACACUCUUCACCAUUGGAAGACAAUACAAGUUGUGUAAUUGCCUUUUUGUCACCCUCUCUCCCAAUAACCACUUCAGGUAAAGAGGACGUAGUUUGAUCCCUCCAUACAAUACUCUCCUGAUCAGUACGAACCUCUAAAUUAAAUUUUCUGUCAGCUUCAAUAUCAGCUAGCCUCUCCCUAAUCGCCUUAACUUUAUGACCCAUUUUAAAACCAUAAACAAGUUUAUUUGAAGACGAAAAGAAGAGACUUACCUCCUUUGUCAUUCUAUUUCCAGUCAUCACUCGGCGCCUUAGGGCUUCUGUGGCGAAGUCAUCUACCAAAUCAUCAGCAUCAUAAACCACUUCUUCUAGCCUCUCAAGCCAGCAUUUCACUUGACGGUUAAGUUUCUGCUGCUCCUCAGCAUCCAGAAGAACGUUGCGAAUACUAGAAACUGUGGCCUCAAGUUUCUUAAGCUCACCUUUGACGCCCCACCACAAUCCGAUCUCAUGAAGGGCUCGAGAACCCAGCUUGGUAAUGAUAUCUCCGACAACGUUAGAGAGAACUCCGUCGGNNNNNNNNNNNNNNNNNNNNNNNNNNNNNNNNNNNNNNNNNNNNNNNNNUUUAAAUAAAAAAAAAAAAAAAGAAGUGGAGGAAAAAGCGGUCCGUUAACUUUGGACGGCGCUGGUUUGCUUUAAUUUAAAAAGUAAAAUAUAUUAAUAAAUUUAUAUAUAGAAUGAAAGUUAGUUAUUUUUUAUAAAAUAAUUUUAUUUUUUAUUAAAUAAAUUUUAUGAGUGAUUUAAAUCGUUAAAAAAUAUAAAAUAUAUUUUUGAUGUUACUAAAAUUUUGUUAUUGAAAUGAAAGUAUUUUUAUAUAUUUUGUGAUGAUGUAUAAAGUUACAUUAGGUAUAAUAUGAUGUAUAGUAAAUUUAUUAUGAGUUUUAAUGACUUUAAAUCGAUUUAAAUUUUAAUAUUGAUAGCGGUUCAAUUUCUGAAUUAUUAUCGAAAUGUAUAGCAGGAGCUCAAGAGUAUCCUGUUGCAUAUUAUAGAUCCAUCGAUAUAAAAAAUAUGGCAUAUGCACACAUUCAGGAUUUAGAGAUUCCUUCAGCUAGUGGCAGAUAUUGUUUAAUUAAAAGAGAUGUCCACUUCUCUGAGGUUUUGAAGAUUGUGUCAGCAACAUUAUCCUACAUUGCACCUUCCAAAAAACUAUGGUUUUUUUUAUAUUUUUGCAUGCUCAUGUUGGACCAGCUAUAUGAAUGGCUAAGAUAUAUAAUUAUUUGGAUAACUGAGAAAUAGUUAUUUUGAAUGAUUAAUUUGAUCAUGGAAUAUAAUCUGAGUUGCAGAUGUGGCUCUGAAUUGAAUUACUUAACAAAGUAUGAGGUAUCAAAGAAAAAAGCGAAAACUUUGGAUAUUGAUUUCAUUCCUUUGGAGGUUAGUUGAAGGACACUAUUGAAAGCUUGAAGGAGAAGAGCCUCCUCAGCAUUUGAUUUUGGCUGUCGGAUAAAAAGCAAUGCAAAUAUUACAUUGGCCUUUCAGGUUCAUUGGCUUUAGCUUUCUAUUGGUGUAAGGUAUUAUUGCCCUUCAGAAUUGUCUUUAUUUAAAAAAAGUGAACCCAUACAAUUUGUAAAAUAUAUUAAAAUUUGUAUACAGCUGUAUAUAAACAUAUUACAUGUGUCGCUUGUUUCUGGUAGAUAAAGUUCAUUUCAGGUCUGAUUUCUGAGGAAGUUGCUCUUUUUUUUUAUCUGAUUUCAAGUCUCAUUCCAAAGAAGAAGACACAAGAAAAAGAAAAUGUGUAAUCCACCAAUUCAGAUUUAGUUCAGUCUUUUCAAAGUAUAUUCAGAUUUCAUAGCCAAUUCAUUUAAUGCUGUAUCUGAUUUCUGGUUCUUGUGAUACGCUCUUACAAAAUUCAUUUAAAAUUCAGUACUCUUACACAUUUUGGAAACACAAUUUAUACAAAAACUGAUUUCUCAGGAAAAAAAAGGAAAAUAAUGUUAUUUGCAUUGAAUGAACAAAUGAUUAGCAUAGUAGCAAAACUACUUAAAAUAAGAGAAAUUAGAAACCAAAAAGCAGCACAGCAUGAGUCUGGGCAUUGCAUGUUGGAUGAUCGAAACAGAGGUCUUGAGUGCGAAUCUAGAUCCUGAAAUACGCAGGCCUGCAAAAAGUCAUUCGAAGAAGUGUGCAAAACUCCCAUCAUUCAGCUUUCUUUCUGCUUCCCGCUCAGCAGGAUUACUAUGUACUGAGACAGAUAGGAAACUUAUCCCGGUGAGUUUUUAUUCCGGGAUGUCAAGGGCACAAUGCGCAGCUUAGUGAAUCUCCAUCAUCUUUGCCACAGGUGUAAGUUAUGAAGAUAGUUGCUAGAUGGAGGAUUUUCACACUAGUGAUUAAGCAUCUGUUUCAAGCCAGAAUCAUCAUUAAAUCACAGAUUUGCUUUACAAGCAAUAACUAGAGGGAUUUCAUAUUACAAGUAGAGUCUUUAUAACCUACUGAAUCGCUUAUUUACGAAGACAGAAGAAUAGGAGAGCUCACGUUUUGUUUUUACUGCACAAAUACUGCAUAUGGAAUCUGAGUGAGAAGUUACUCCCUAAAAAUUUCAAAAGUGUUUUUGAGAGGUACCUUUGAGCGAAUCUUCUGGCAACAGACUCAAAGAAGUCAUCCAAUAAGUAGAAAUUCUUCUAUGGAAGGCCACACACAUUAAUAGCAGUUCUUUCAAGGCGAAUUAUGCCAAGCCAAUCAAGGAAUUGCUGCCAUGGCAUGUAGUUGUGGUUUCUUAAUGUGUUCGAGUAACUUCUGCACAAGGAAUCAAAUUAAUCUUUAAAUCCGUGAAAUUAAAAGGGAUGCAGAAUUACAAAACUAAUAAUAAGAACAAUAAUAAUAAGAUGGAUAGAAGCAUGACCUGCCAAUGCAUGAUUUCGGCAAGCCUUUGCUUUGGUUCACCACUUCCCAAUGUAGUAAGAAUUUCAACAGCAUCCCAGAAUUUCAAUAGCAUCCCAAUGAUAACUCAUACUUGAUGAGCCUUGAUGGAGAAAUGAAAGUCCAGUUAAAAUUAUUCAAAAUGCAUAUCCACUCGCCAAGAACAUAUGCACCCAGAAAUCUCCUUAAAUAAAUAAGGUUUUAACAAGGUGAAUGCUUUGCUUUUUCUUUUUUUGGGAAGAACUUCAAAGUAAACAAAGGUAAGACUAUUGGGUUUUGAUGUUUACCUUGUGUGGGAGAAAUGUGAUGUUUACCCAGAAAUCACAUUUUGUUUUCAGAAUAAAUGGUUUUUUCCACCUCUGCAUUUGACAUUGAAAAAACUUGAAUAAAUACCAAAUAAUUAAGAUAUGCUGCUGAUUUAAUUUACAAAGGAAUGGCGCAUGUGAAGAGAAAUUGACAUAUGACAAUCACCUUCAGCACAAUCAAUUCUCAUCCUAAUUUAGAAGACUAAUCAAACUAAUUGCAGCAAUAACAUCUUUUCCACGAAGUCUACUAACUUCUGCACAUAGAGUCAAAAUUAAUCCGUUAUAUCCAUGAAAAGAAUGAAGGCAGAAUUACAUUAAAAAAUGAAUAAAAAUGACGGUUAAAAGAAAGACCUGCCAAUGCAUUUAAAAUCUCUUUGAAUUUGUUUCCCACAUCCCAAUUUAUUAGAAUUUCAGGUGAGUAAAAAACAAAUAAAUGAUUCCUCUAGCUUGAUGAGCCUGUACAUGUGGGAAAAAAGUGUUAAAAUAUUAUCAUAAAGCAAAUAAAUUCUCAAUUAUACAAAAAAUAAAAGAAAGAAAAGGUACUCUGUAUAUUGAUCUUGAUUGUAAAGAAAUAAUGACAAAAGGUACUCUGUAUAUUGAUCUUGAUUGUAAAGAAAUAAUGACAAAAGGAUACUUACGAACUCAAAGGUAAUACACUGCUCAUUUUGGAAGAAACACAUCCAACACUUCAAAACUUAUCCUUCAUUGAUCUGUGUAAAUAGAAUCAUAGAGUGAAGAUUUUCUCAUGUAAGUUUAAUUUGCAAAUUGGAGAGAAAAAGGACCAACUUACCGAAGCUUCAUCAUCCAGUAGAUAGCGGCCCUCUCUUUGAAUUCUUUGGUCAUCAACUUCAAUAUUUGGGAUGUGAGAAAUGAAAGCCCAAUCCGCACCCUUUCUAUUUCCACAUCUUUCCUUCAAUUGGGGACGGUCAUUGAUAUUCAAUUCUCGUAACGAGGUGAGGGAACGCAUCUCUUGAGGCAGACACUUUAUUGCCGGACAAAUCUGAAUGGUUAGUCUUUGAAGACAAGUGAGAUUCCACAGUCCAUCUGGAGGUAGAGAUUCCAGCUCUUCAAUGUCCGUAAUCUGAAGGAUCUUCAAUUUAGAGAGAGGAGGAAUGAUUGAGGAAGAAGAAGAGAUUGAUGGUGUGAAUAUUUGGUGCACAAGUUGUGGGCUUGCGCAGUGCAAAUAUAGUGAAUGAUCGAGAGAUGGAAACUGAGGGAUGGAGUUCAAAUUAGGGCAGUCCCUACAAACGAAAUACGAAAGACAAGGAAAUUGGAGUAGCUCAAGAGCUGUCGAAUCAUCCUUCUUCUUCUGCAAUCCUUUAAGCUUAGGACAACCAUAUAGCACGAGAACCCUUAGGGAUGGAAAGAAUGAUGUUGCUUGUCCCUCAAUCUCAAUGUACUCUAAAUCAUCUACUUCACGAAUAUGUAGAUAUUGAAGAGAAGGGAUUUGAUCCAUUGGUGGGAGAUGCUGAUAUCUAUUGCAAUUCCGUAUACAGAGAUAGACAAGAUUCGUGAGGGAAGAGAACCAACUUGGGAACCUCCUGCCUCCAUUGCCAAGCACACGUAACUCUUUAAGAUUGGGAUGCGGUUGGAGAUUUUGGAAUGCCAUUUCAUCUCUAUCAACAUUUGAAUCUUCCCAACUCUCCUCGCAACGUAAUUCCAAUGAUUGAAGGACUGGUUUCUCUUUCAUAUUAACAUUUACAAUCUCAUUAUCCACACAACCCAGAUUUAUAAUUUCAAGACGUCCCCUCAAAUUCUUAAGCUUAUUCAGUUCAUUUAUUUUUUCAACAUCCUUUGAGGAAAUAUGCCCUUUUGCCACUACGAACAGCGACAACGUCUGAAGUGAAGUCAACUGCCCAAGCCCACGUGGCAUAUGAGUCAAAGAGUAACAACCUUCACAAUAUAAAUGCCUAAGAUUUACAAGCUUUUUAAUAUCUUUAGGCAAUUCUUUGAGCUGGACACAGUAAGAGACAUCUAAUACUUGUAAAUUCAGCAAAUCGGUAAUAGAAUGUGAAAGUGCUUUAAGUCCCUUGUUAUCGGAACGUCAAGAUAUCUUAUAUAUUUUAGCAUUUUUAAAGAAUUAUCCAUCGUUGUAUAUGAAUGCAUCAUAAAUACACGUAAAAAUUUUAAAUUUUUAUAAAUAAAUAGUUGAUCGCAAUCAUAUUUCUCAAGCAAAAGAAGCGAUCGUACUCUUUUUGCGUUAUUAAGAAUUUCUUUUGAUGCAACAUCCAAAUUCAAUGCUACAUGAUGGAUUUUCUCAUUAAUAUUUAGUAUAUCAGAAUUUACUAGCUGAAUCCUCUUCCCACCCACUGUGGUUGCGAGAUCGUGCAUUAAAUCAUGCAUUUUACAGCUCUCUACAUUUCCAUAUCUAUCUCUUUCCACUUCUUGAAAAAAUGACCUCCACCACAGUUUCAUAAAAUAUUCAAGCCUAAUAUCUUCAAGAUAAUCACUCGUACUUGGUGACUCAAUAAACCCUUGUGCAAUCCAAAGAUGGAUUAAUCUUUUCACAUCAAUCACAUAAUCUUUUGGAUAUAUUGCGCAAUAUGCAAAACAAUGCUUCAAAUGUGAUGGGAGAUGAUCAUAACUUAGCUUCAGUGUUGGCAUAAUAUCAUUACCAUCUUGACUUAUUCUUGAGAGUUCUUUUGUUAAAAAGGGCAGCCACUCAGUUUCUGGAUUUUUCGCAUACAAGAGACUUGCGAUGGUUUUUAUUGCAAGAGGAACUCUAUGACAUUUCUUCAAAAUCUCCUUUCCCAUCUCUCUUACAUUUGCAUGUUUUGGCUCCUGCCCCUCAAGUGCUACAUGCAAAAACAAAGACCAAGACUCAUCCGGAGACAACCCUUCCAAAACAUGUGGUGCCAUUGUGCUAGAUAUAUCUGCCACCUUUUUAGAGCGAGUGGUUAUUAAUAUCUUACUUCCACUAGAGCCACCCACUAAUAAUCUCUUUAAAUUCUCCCAUUUUUCUCUAUUCUCAUUCCACACAUCAUCUAGAACAAGCAGAUAUUUCUUCCCACUAAUAAUUUUUUCCAGUCUAGACUUCAAUGCUUCUAACCCAAGAUCUUCCGGUCUAUUCCCUGUUGCAGACUCUAGAAUCUUUCCAACAGUCAUUUUCACAUCAAAAGGUUCUGAAACACACACCCAUAUUCUUGGCUCAAAUGAAUUCUUAAUCAAUUCAUCAUUGAAUAUGAUUUGAGCAAGAGUGGUCUUCCCUAAUCCUCCAAUUCCAACAAUUGAGAGGACUGAAACACACUCUUCACCAUUGGAAGACAAUACAAGUUCUGUAAUUGCCUUUUUGUCACCCUCUCUCCCAAUAACCACUUCAGGUAAAGAGGACGUAGUUUGAUCCCUCCAUACAAUACUCUCCUGAUCCGUACGAAACUCUAAAUUAAAUUUUCUGUCAGCUUCAAUAUCAGCUAGCCUCUCCCUAAUCUCCUUAACUUUAUGACCCAUUUUAAAACCAUAAACAAGUUGAUUUGAAGACGAAAAGAAGAGACUUACCUCCUUUGUCAUUCUAUUUCCAGUCAUCACUCGGCGCCUUAGAGCUUCUGUGGCGAAGUCAUCUACCAAGUCAUCAGCAUCAUAAACAACUUCUUCUAGCCUCUCAAGCCAGCCUUUCACUUGACGGUUAAGUUUCUGCUGCUCCUCAGCAUCCAGAAGAACGUUGCGAAUACUAGAAACUGUGGCCUCAAGUUUCUUAAGCUCACCUUUGACGCCCCACCACAAUCCGAUCUCAUGAAGGGCUCGAGAACCCAGCUUGGUAAUGAUAUCUCCGACAACGUUAGAGAGAACUCCGUCGGCCAUUUUGGGCGUUUUGGUUUGAUUGUAAAAGGAUGAAAUGUUGCUGUGAAGAAGAAGACGGUGACAACAAAUGACUGAUUUAAAGAAAAAAAAAGAAGUGGAGGAAAAAGCAUUCUUCUAAAUGAUUAUCUUCGGUCGGUCAACUUUGAACGGCGCUGGUUUGCUUUUUAAAUAAUAUAUUAAUACAUUUAUAUAUAUACAGAUGGAAAGAAAGUUAUUUUUUAAAAAAUAAUUUUAUUUUUUAUUAGAAAUGCAUUUUUUUUAAUUAAAUUUGAUGAGUGAUUCAAAUAUUAAAAAAUAUAAAAUAUAUAUAUACAGAUGGAAAGAAAGUUAUUUUUUAAAAAAUAAUUUAAUUUUUAAUAGAAAUGUAUUUUUUUUAAUUAAAUUUGAUGAGUGAUUCAAUUAUUAAAAAAUAUAAAAUAUAUUUUCGAUAUUGCUGAGAUUAAAUUGAUGUUGUAGUCGGAAUGAAACUGUACUAUAAUUGGUUAGAAUUUAUAAGAGAGGAAAUAUGAGAUAGUGGUGGGUACCUAUAGCAGCAAGGCAGUGAUGAGUACCUAUGACAGCUACUGUGACGCUAAAGUCAGUAUUUUGAAAAAUAGAAAAAAUUUAAUGAAUAACUUAGAGUUUGAGUAGUAUCAUAGAUAAUGUACCUUUAUCUUCGUAAUCGUUCUCCUUUUAUACUAUGAGAAAAUGUAUAUAAAUAUAUCAUGAAACAACAGGGCCUAAACUGGUCCAAAUAACUUUUGGACUCACUUUUCACUUGACCCAAAAUGGUUAAUUCAGGUUAUUUAGUAGUUUCGUGCUAGCUAUUAUAUACAAUUCCAAAAUCUCCCGAUGUGGGACAGCUUUCGCAGCGGAAGCGAACAGCUGACCAUUACACUCGAUCCCGCUAAAUUUGCGACGUCCUCGUCGCAGUUGAAUUGGAUACAAUUGCUAAUUAGGACCGAACCCUUAGGUAUUGUGGUUCGCUAGUACGUCGGGCGGCUCCACCUCGUCUCACACGGGUAGCUCUUUCCUUACAGGCUCACUAGCUCUACAUAAUUUGUUUGAUCUAGAGUGGCUCUAAUACCAAUUGAAACAGUCAGGUCCAAACUUGCUCAAAUAACUUUUGGACCCACUUUCUACUUUGCCCAAAAUAGUUAAUCUAAGUUAUUUAGUAGUUUUGUGCUACCUAUUAUAUACAAUUCCGAUUUUCUAUAAUCUCCCGGUGUGGGACGGCUUCCGCAGUGGAAGCAGGUAGCUGACCGUUGCACUUGGUCCCGCUAAAUUUGCGACGUCCUCGUCGCAACUGAAUCGGAUACAAUUGCUAACCAGGAUCGAACCCUUAGGUAUUGUAGUUCGCUAGUACCUCGAGCGGCUCCACCUCGUCUCACACGGGUAGCCCUUUCCUCGUAGGCCCACUAGCACAAUUUGUAUCUAGGGUGGCUCUAAUACCAAUUGAAACAGUCGGGUCCAAACUGGCCCAAAUAACUUUUGGACCCACUUUCCACUUGUCCCAAAAUGGUUAACUCAAGUUAUUUAAUAGUUUCGUGCUAACUAUUAUAUACAAUUUCGAUUUUCUAUAAUCUCCCAAUGUGGGACAGCUUCCGCAGCGGAAACAGGUAGCUGAUCGUUAUAAUCGGUCUCGCUAAAUUUGCGAUGUCCUCGUCGCAACUGAAUUUGAUACAAUUGCUAACCAAGACCGAACCUUUAGGUACUGUGGUUCGCUAGUACCUCUGGCGGCUCCACCUCAUCUAACACGGGUAGCUCUUUCCUCGCAGGCCCACUAGCUCUGCACAAUUUGUCUAACUCAGGGUGGCUCUGAUACCAAUUAAAAUAGUCGGGCCUAACCUGCCCCCAAAGGUUUGACUUUUGAAUCUGUGAGCGGACUUUAGGCCGUCGAACCUGCUGCCGAAAGUGCCCUGUCCAGCCUUUUUCAGCUUGCUUCCUACGUGUGUUCUUCUAUGUUCUUAGGGGGUAGUUUUAAGUGUUGUAAAAGUUAUAUUUGGUUCCUCAUUUAAGUCCAUCUGUGUAGGAUCGGACUUGGAAGAUCGUAGAAACUUGCAGUAAGAUAACUGUAUCAAAAUUAGGCGUGCGUCAGCCAGAGGUGAGUAGAACUAAACUCAAUUAUUAUUUUAAAAAAACCAAAUGUUUUAAGCAUACUUAUGCAUCACAAAUGCUAUGUAUAUAUAUGAUUAUGGUGCUUUGCAUUAGAAUUCACGAAUAUAAUGCAUUGCAUAAUUUAUUAUUGUUGUUGAUGUAUGUUAGAUGACCUUCUAGCCCUCAAGUAUGUUAUGGUAUGUUAUGACGGAUAUGGAAAGAGCAGGACUUGCUCAUUCUACGCCCUUGGCACUGUGUAAGGGAAAGACCAGGGUUACACAUUUUAUAUCCGUGGCACUAUGGAUAUGUUAUUUUAUGUUUAAGAGGAAAUUCUGAAAAGCGCUUGUCGUGGGCUGGGCACUAUUGGAAUCUAUAGAGAGUCACUGGUGACAAGUCUAUCUUGAUAUGAAUUGUUUGUGUUGUGACACAUUUAUACGAUCAUAUGUCUUAUUAAACUGCUUUUGUUAUGUUUCUGCUCACUAGCCUCUUAUAGUUUAUCCCUUUUCCCUAACUCCAGAUUUGCAGGAUCAGAAUUAGCUCGAGAGGUGGGCCGAGGUGUUGGUAUAGUCCAUUGUAAUAACAUAGUUGUGGACAUGUAUUAAUUUGUGAAUUUGAAUUGUGUUUUGCGUGAGUUUUCUUUAUAAUCCUUAUUUUAUGAUUUUUUUAUGUAAAAGAUUUUAAGUCUAAAUUAUGUUUGAACUAAGCUUGAGGUGUGUAAUAUUGACUAUACUAAAACAUUUGAUGAGAGCUCUAGUAUGAAUUUAUGUUUCCAGUUCUGAUACAUGCGCAGGUCAAGUUUUUGUUAUUGAAAUAGAAGUGUUUUUACAUGUUUGUGUGAUUAUGUAUGGAUCUAUAUCAAAUGUAACAGGAUGUAUAGUAAAUUUGCUAUGAGUUCCGGCAACCUUAGAUUGAUCUGAACCGUAGUGCCGAUAGCGGUCUGAGUUGCAGAUGUGGCUCCGAAUUGAAUUAUUUAACAAAGUAUGGGGUAUCAAAGGAAAAAAGUGAAAACUUUGGGUAUUGACUUCAUUCCUUUGGAGGUUAGUCUGAAGGACACUAUUGAAAGCUUGAAGGAUAAGGGCUUCCUCAGCAUUUAAUAUUGGCUGUUGGAUAAAAAGCAAUGCAAAUAUUACAUUGGCUUUUCAGGUUCAUUGGCUUUAGCUUCCUAUUGGUGCAAGAUAUUAUUACCCUUCAGGAUUGUCUUUAUUUGAAAAAAGUGGACCAAUACAAUUUGUAAAAUACAUAACAAUUUGUAUACAACUGUAUAUAAACAUAUUACAUGUGUCACUUGUUUCACUGGUGGAUGAAGUUCAUUUCAGGUCUGAUUUCUGAGGAAGUUACUCUUUUUUUUAUCUGAUUUCAGGUCUCAUUCCAAAGAAUAAGACACAAGAAAAAGAAAAUGUGUAAUCCACCAAUUCAGAUUUAGUUCAGUCUUUUCAAAGUAUAUUCAGAUUUCAUAGCCAACUCAUUUUAUGCUGUAUCUGAUUUCUGGUUCUUGUGAUAUGCUCUUACAAAAUUCAUCUAAAAUUCAGUGCUCUUACACAUUCUGGAAACAACAAUUUAUACAAAAACUGAUUUCUCAGGGAAAAAAAGGAAAAUAAUGUUAUUUGCAUUGAAUGAACAAAUGAUUAGCAUAGUAGCAAAACUACUUAAAAUAAGAGAAAUUAGAAACAAAAAAGCAGCACAGCAUGAGUCUGGGCAUUGCAUGUUGGAUGAUCGAAACAGAGGUGUUGAGUGAGAAUCUAGAUCCUGAAAUACGCGGGCCUGCAAAAAGUCAUUCGAAGAAGUGUGCAAAACUCCCAUCAUUCAGCUUUCAUUUCUGCUUCCGGCUUAGCAGGAUUACUAUGUACUGAGUUGUUUUCUGAACUGUGACAGAUAGGAAACUUAUCCCGGUGAGAUUUUAUUCCGGAAUGUCAAGGGCACAAUGCGUAGCUUAGUGAAUCUCCAUCAUCUUUGCCGCAGGUGUAAGUUAUGAAGAUAAUUGCUAGAUGGAGGAUUUUCACACUAGUAAUUUAGCAUCUGUUUCAAGCCAGAAUCAUCAUUAAAUCACAGAUUUGCUUUACAAGCAAUAACUAGGGGGAUUUCAUAUUACAAGUAGUCUUUAUAACUUACUGAAUCGCUUAUUUUUGAAGACAGAGGAUGAGGAGAGCUCACGUUUUGUUUUUACUGCACAAAUACUGCAUAUGGAAUCUGAGUGAGGAGUUACUCUCUAAAAAUUUCAAAAGUGUUUUUGAGAGGUACCUUUGCGUGAAUCUUCUGGCAACAGACUCAAAGUAGUCAUCCAAUAAGUAGAAAUUCUUCUAUGGAAGGCCACACACAUUAAUAGCAGUUCUUUCAAGGCGAAUUAUGCCAAGCCAAUCAAGGAAUUGCUGCCAUGGCAUGUAGUUGUGGUUUCUUAAUGUGUUCGAGUAACUUCUGCACAAGGAAUCAAAUUAAUCUUUAAAUCCGUGAAAUUAAAAGGGAUGCAGAAUUACAAAACUAAUAAUAAUAACAAUAAUAAUAAGAUGGAUAGAAGCAUGACCUGCCAAUGCAUGAUUUCGGCAAGCCUUUGCAUUGGUUCACCACUUCCCAAUGUAGUAAGAAUUUCAACAGCAUCCCAGAAUUUCAAUAGCAUCCCAAUGAUAACUCAUACUUGAUGAGCCUUGAUGGAGAAAUGAAAGUCCAGUUAAAAUUAUUCAAAAUGCAUAUCCACUCGCCAAGAACAUAUGCACCCAGAAAUCUCCUUAAAUAAAUAAGGUUUUAACAAGGUGAAUGCUUUGCUUUUUCUUUUUUUGGGAAGAACUUCAAAGUUAACAAAGGUAAGACUAUUGAGUUUUGAUGUUUACCUUGUGUGGGAGAAAUAUGAUGUUUACCCAGAAAUCACAUUUUGUUUUCAGAAUAAAUGGUUUUUUCCACCUCUGCAUUUGACAUUGAAAAAACUUAAAUAAAUACCAAACAAUUAAGAUAUGCUGCUGAUUUAAUUUACAAAGGAAUGGUGCAUGUGAAGAGAAAUUGACAUAUGACAAUCACCUUCAGCACAAUCAAUUCUCAUCCUAAUUUAGAAGACUAAUCAAACUAAUUGCAACAAUAACAUCUUCUCCACGACGUCUACUACCUUCCGCACAUAGAGUCAAAAUUAAUCCGUUAUAUCCAUGAAAAGAAUGAAGGCAGAAUUACAUUAAAAAAUGAAUAAAAAUGAUGGCUAAAAGAAAGACCUGCCAAUGCAUUUAAGAUCUCUUUGAAUUUGUUUCCCACAUCCCAAUUUAUUAGAAUUUCAGGUGACUAAAAAACAAAUAAAUGAUUCCUCUAGCUUGAUGAGCCUGCAUAUGUGGGAAAAAAGUGUUAAAAUAUUAUCAUAAAGCAAAUAAAUUCUCAAUUAUAAAAAAAAAAAUAAAAGAAAAAAAAAGGUACUCUGUAUAUUGAUAUUGAUUGUAAAGAAAUAAUGACAAAAGGAUACUUACGACUCAAAGGUAAUACACUGCUCAUUUUGGAAGAAACACAUCCAACACUUCAAAACUUAUCCUUCAUUGAUCUGUGUAAAUAGAAUCAUAGAGUGAAGAUUUUCUCAUGUAAGUUUAAUUUGCAAAUUGGAGAGAAAAAGGACCAACUUACCGAAGCUUCAUCAUCCAGUAGAUAGCGGCCCUCUCUUUGAAUUCUUUGGUCAUCAACUUCAAUAUUUGGGAUGUGAGAAAUGAAAGCCCAAUCCGCACCCUCUCUAUUUCCACAUCUUUCCUUCAAUUGGGGACAGUCAUUGAUAUUCAAUUCUCGUAACGAGGUGAGGGAACGCAUCUCUUGAGGCAGACACUUUAUUGCCGGACAAAUGUCAAUGGUUAGUCUUUGAAGACAAGCGAGAUUCCGCAGUCCAUCUGGAGGUAGAGAUUCGAGCUCUUAAAUAUUUUAACAUUUUUAUAGAAUUAUCCAUCGUUCUUCUAUAUGAAUAUAUAGUAAAUACACGCAAAAAUUUUAAAUUUUUAUAAAUAAAUAGCUGAUUGACAUCAUGUUUCUUAAACAAAAGAAUCGAUCGUACUCUUUUAGCAUUGUUAAGAAUUUCUUGUGGUGCAACAUCUAAAUUCAAUGCUACAUGAUGGGUUUUCUCAUCAAUAUUUGGUGUAUUAAAAUUUACUAGCUGAAUCCUCUUCUCAUCCACUCUAGUUGCGAGAUUGUGCAUUAAAUCAUGCAUUUUACAGCUUUCGACAUUUCCACAUCUAUCUCUUUUCACCUCUUGAAAAAAUGACCUCCACCACAGUUUCAUAAAAUAUUCAAGCCCAAUAUCUUCAAGACAAUCACUGGUACCUGGUGACUCAAUAAACCCUUGUGCAACCCAAAAAUGGAUUAAUGUUUUCACAUCAAUCACAUAAUCUUUUGGAUAUAUUGCGCAAUAUGCAAAACAAUGCUUCAAAUGUGAUGGGAGAUGAUCAUAGCUUAGUUUCAGUGUUGGCAUAAUAUCAUUACCAUCUUGACUUAUUCUUGAGAGUUCUUUUCUCAAAAAGGGCAGCCACUCAGUUUCUGGAUUUUUCGCAUACAAGAGACUUGCGAUAGUUUUUAUUGCAAGAGGAACUCCAUGACAUUUCUUCAGAAUCUCCUUUCCCUUCUCUCUUACAUUUGCAUGUUUUGGCUCCUGCCCCUCAAGUGCUACAUGCAAAAACAAAGACCAAGACUCCACCACAGAUAAGCCUUCCAAAACAUGUGGUGCUAUUGUGCCAGAUAUAUCUGCCACCUUUUUAGAGCGAGUGGUUAUUAAUAUCUUACUUCCACUAGAGCCACCCACUAAUAAUCUCUUUAAAUUCUGCCAUGUUUUUCUAUUCUCAUUCCACACAUCAUCUAGAACAAGCAGAUAUUUCUUCCCACAAAUAAUUUUUUCCAGUCUAGACUUCAAUGCUUCUAACUCAAGAUCUUCCGAUUUAUUCCCUGUUGCAGACUCUAGAAUCUUUCCAACAGUCAUUUUCACAUCAAAAGGUUCUGAAACACACACCCAUAUUCUUGGCUCAAAUGAAUUCUUAAUCAAUUCAUCAUUCAAUAUGAUUUGAGCAAGAGUGGUCUUCCCUAAUCCUCCAAUUCCAACAAUUGAGAGGACUGAAACACACUCUUCACCAUUGGAAGACAAUACAAGUUCUGUAAUUGCCUUUUUGUCACCCUCUCUCCCAAUAAUCACUUCAGGUAAAGAGGACGUAGUUUGAUCCCUCCAUACAAUACUCUCCUGAUCAGUACGAACCUCUAAAUUAAAUUUUCUGUCAGCUUCAAUAUCAGCUAGCCUCUCCCUAAUCGCCUUAACUUUAUGACCCAUUUUAAAACCAUAAACAAGUUGAUUUGAAGAUGAAAAGAAGAGACUUACCUCCUUUGUCAUUCUAUUUCCAGUCAUCACUCGGCGCCUUAGAGCUUCUGUGGCGAAGUCAUCUACCAAGUCAUCAGCAUCAUAAACAACUUCUUCUAGCCUCUCAAGCCAGCCUUUCACUUGACGGUUAAGUUUCUGCUGCUCCUCGGCAUCCAGAAGAACAUUGCGAAUACUAGAAACUGUGGCCUCAAGUUUCUUAAGCUCACCUUUGACGCCCCACCACAAUCCGAUCUCAUGAAGGGCUCGAGAACCCAGCUUGGUAAUGAUAUCUCCGACAACAUUAGAGAGAACUCCGUCGGCCAUUUUGGGUGUUUUGGUUUGAUUGUAAAAGCACGAAAUGUUGCUGUGAAGAAGAAGAUGGUGACAACAAAUGACUAAUUUAAAGAAAAAAAAAAGUGAAGGAAAAAGCAUUCUUCAUAAUUAUCUUCGGUCGGUCAGCUUUUGCGGGCGCUGGUUUGCUUUAAUUUAAAAAGUAAAAUAUAUUAAUAAAUUUAUAUAUAGAAUGAAAGUAAGUUAUUUUUUUUUAAAUAAUUUUAUUUUUUUUAUUAAAAAAAUAAUUUUUAUUAAAUAAAUUUUAUGAGUGAUUCAAAUAGUUAAAAAAUAUAAAAUAUGUUUUUGAUGUUACUGAAUUUUGGUUAUUGAAAGGAAAGUAUUUUUAUAUACUUGUGUGAUGAUGUGUAGAAUUAUAUUAGGUGUAACAUAACAUAUAAUAGAUUUGUUAUGAGUUUUAAGGAUUUUAAAUCGAUUUGAAUUCUAAUACUGUAGCGAUUCGAUUUCUGAAUCGUUACGGGAACAAUGAAUUGAUUUUAUUUUUUGGGUAGCAAAAGCUUAAGAGUAUUCUGUUGCAUAUUAUAGAUCCAUCGAUGUAAGAGAUGUUGCUUAUGCAUACAUUCAAGCUUUGGAGAUUCCUUCAGCUAGUGGCAGAUAUUGUUUCAUUAAAAGAGAUGUCCACUUCUCUGAGGUUCUGAAGAUUGUGUCAGCAACAUUAUCCUACAUUGCACCUUCCAAAAAAGUAUGGUUUUUUUUUUAUAUAUUUUUGCAUGCUCAUGUUGGACCAGCUAUAUAAAUGACUAAGAUUUAUAAUUAUUUGGAUAAUUGAGAAAUAGUUGUUUUGAAUGAUUAAUUUGAUCAUGGAAUAUAAUAUGAGUUGCAGAUGUGGCUCUGGAUUGAAUUACUUAACAAAGUAUGAGGUAUCAAAGGAAAAAGCGAAAACUUUGGAUAUUGACUUCAUUCCUUUGGAGGUUAGUUUCAAGGACACUAUUGAAAGCUUGAAAGAGAAGGGUUUCCUCAGCAUUUGAUUUUGGCUGUUGGAUAAAAAGCAAUGCAAAUAUUACAUUGGCCUUUCAGGUUCAUUGGUUUUAGCUUCCUAUUGGUGCAAGAUAUUAUUGCCCUUCAGGAUUGUCUUUAUUUGAAAAGAGUGGACCAAUACAAUUUAUAAAAUAUAUAACAAUUUGUACAGAACUGUGUAUAAACAUUUUACAUGUGUCACUUGUUUCACUGGUAGAUGAAGUUCAUUUCAGGUCUGAUUUAUGAGGAAGUUACAAUUUUUUUUUUUUUAUCUGAUUCCAUGUCUCAUUCCAAAGAAUAAGACACAAGAAAAAGAAAAUAUAUAAUCCACCAAUUCUGAUUUCGUUCAGUCUUUUUAAAGUAUAUUCAGAUUUCAUAGCCAAUUCAUUUUAUGUUGUAUCUGAUUCAGGGUAUUAAAUAACGGCCGUUACGUAACGUAACGGCCGUUAUGUAACGGUAUCAAGGGGGGUCGUUACCCGUUAGGCCGUUACCCAACGGCCCCCUUGAAUUGCAUCCGUUACGGCCGUUACGUAACGGUAACGGCCGUUACCGACAGUGAUGUAACGGUAACGGCCGUUACUUUAUCCCAACACAAACUUCAGAUUACAGAGAAUAUAUUCAAAAACCAGCUAUGCAUUGAAUUUGACCACUUUUGUCCCUCUUCUCCAGCAAGCACAGCAGACAACCUCAUUUUGCAACUAAAAUUUCCAACUUUCUUUUCCUUUUCUCUCAAAUAUCUCAAUCUCAAGCUUCUCUAAACAUUUCUCAUUUACAAUUACAAGCUUCAAUCUACCAUUAACUACUUCAUUUCAAGAUAAUUUCUUUUAAAAAGUGACUUAAUAUUUCUAUGUAUUUUUACUUUCAAAGUUGCUGUAUUUUUUUUUUUAAUUUUUGUAGAUUAAAUUUGUAGUUUUGAGUUAAAAAUAUAUUUUGAGCUAUUAAUUUGUCCGAUCUAUAAAAAUUGUAUGGUUUUUGUUAGUUUAGACUAUUUUUCAGAAAUCAUUAUGAAAUUAAACUAAUUUUAGUUGCUGUAUUUUUUUUGUUUCAUUUUUGUGGAUUAAAGUGUUAGAUUUGAGUUAAAUUAAUAGUGUAUUUUUACUUUCAGAAUUUUAGAGGAAUCAGAGCUGCUGUAUUUUUUUUUUUAACUUUUGUAGAUUAAAUUUGUAGUUUUGAGUUAAAAAUAUACUUUGAGGCUAUUAAUUUGUUAGAUCUAUAAAUUGUAUGGUUUUUGUUAGUUUAGUUUAGACUAUUUUUCAGAAAUUAUUAUGAAAUUAAAUUAUUUUUAGUUGCUGUAUUUAUUUUUUUUUAAUUUUUGUGGAUUAAAGUGUUAGUUUUGAGUUAAAUUAAUAGUGAUAGAAUAAGACUUGUAGUUUGACAAUUAAAAUUUCAUAUUUAUAUAAUUUGUGUUAAAUAGAAAUUAAUAUAUGUAGUUAGGUUAAAAUUAAAAUAUUAGUUAUGAAAAAAAUAUUCGCCUUCCAUGUAUUUGACAUUUGAUAUCUUUUAAAUUUUAUGAACAAUUAUUAAAUAUUUGUAUUAAAAUGCCUCAUGGAAGUGGUUCUGGUUCUACUCAAGGGGUGGUAAACUAAGUGAUGAUAUUGGGUGGAAGUUUGCAACACCUACAGGGAAAAAAAGGAGAACUGAUUUGUAAUUUAUGUGGGAGAAAAGUCACAGAUGGAAUAACAAGAUUGAAGUUGCACUUGGCUAACAUACCUGGUCAAAUUGCAGGUUGUGAGAAAGUUUCUUCCAAAGUUAAGAAGGAUAUGGCCGCUGUCCUGAAAGAAUACCAAUUAGCUAAAAAGGAUAAAGAAAAAAGAGAAAGAGAAUUAGAAGAAGAAAUUAUGAAUAUAAAUAGAAUCGAAGAUGAUGAAGAGGAGGAGGAGGAAGAGGAUAUCGAAAUGGAAAUAGCGAGACGGGCGAGCAUGAGACAGUUGGAAGAAGAUGAAUUUAAAAGGAGAACUGGAUCUAGAUUUGAUGUUGGUGGUAGUAGCAGACAAGUGUUGGGUCGUUCUGCUACUACACGUGAGGGAGGUAGAGAAACACAAAAAUAUGCAGAAGUAUCUACACCGGCAUCUCGGUUGGCUGCCACAGAAAUUGAGAUAGAGAGAAGCAGAGCUCAACAAAAGCAGCCAAAAUAAAAAACUAAAUGGUUGAAGACACAGAAGGAGAAAAUGUUGUAAGCAUUUGGAAAUUUUAUUAUACAUAAUAGGCUUUCCUUCAGUAUUGUUGAGUCACCGUGAACAAAGCCACUUUUAAGAACAGCAGCAGAAAUCGGGGCUAAUGUAUCUCCACCUACUGCUUAUGAAAUAGCAAAAAUUUAUCUAAAAAAUGAGUACAAUGAGAUGAAAAAAUAUAUAGCCUCAUUUGAUGGAAUAUGGAAGGAGAGGGGAGUUACUAUAAUGUGUGAUGGUUAGAGUGGGCCAACACGUAUGAGUAUAGUAAAUUUCCAUGUCUAUUCAAACAGAGGAACAGUGUUCCACAAGUCUAUUGAUGCAUCCAAUGUGGAAUAUAAAGAUGGAGAACACUAUUUUAAAAUUAUGAAAGAAGUAGUGGAAGAAAUAGGGCCUAAAAAAGUUGUCCAAGUGGUAAUGGACAACGAAGCUGCCAUUAAAUUAGGAGGGAAGAAACUGAAGGAGAAAUUCCCUAAUCUAUAUUGGACUGCUUAUAGUGCUCAUUGUAUUGAUUUGAUUUUGGAAGAUAUUGGAAAGAAGAAGAGUGUGAAAAAAAUAAUUGACCAAGCCAAGGUAAUUACUCAAUUUAUUUAUAAUCAUAAUUGGGUAGUCAAUUAUAUGAAGAAAUUCACGGACAAUAGAGAUAUUAUUCGACCUGGCAUCACUAGAUUUGCCACAAACUUUAUUGCUUUAGAGUCUAUUGUCCGUUAUAGGGUGAGGCUAAGGAAUAUGUUCGAAUCGGAGCAAUGGAUGAUGAGUAAAUAUGGACAAGCAACAAGUGGUCCAGCGCAUGAAGUCAAGAAAAUUGUGCUUGGCUUAGGCAGCGAAGGAAGAAACUUUUGGGAGAAGGCACAACAAAUAAUGAAAGUUCAAGAACCUCUCUUGAAGGUUUUAAGAUUAUUUGGUGGGGAUGACAAGCUAACAAUGAGAUUUAUAUAUGAGGCAAUGGAGCGAGCGAAGUUGGCUAUUCAAAAAAAUUCUAGAAGCUAUUUGGAAUAUUGGAGAAUAAUUGAUCAUAGAUAAAAUUUUCAAUUGCAUCAUGACUUACAUGCCGCUGGUAAGAACAUUGUAUUAUAAUUUGAUAGUUUAGAAAAUUAAAUUGUUAAAUUAAGAGAUAACUUAUUAUCUAUCUUCAUAUUUUAUUUUGCAGGAUAUUUUCUAAAUCCUUAAUAUCAAUAUGGCCCAUAUGAUAUUGGAAAUGAUAAUGAGAUCGUCUCAAAAAUGUGAUUCAACAUCUAGAGGGGGAUUUAGUAAAUCAAGGAAAAACAUUAAAUAAAGUAAGUAACAACUAACAAGCUAAUUCUUAAUUGUUACUAUGUUAGUGUAGUUGAAGGCUUGAAGCUUGAAUUGUUGCUUUUGAACUUGAAGUUAACUUACUGGAAUUUGGAACAUGUAGACCCUACUUUUUCGGGACAAAAUAGAGAGUUUUGGAACAGUUUUGGCACAAAAGGCAAUUAAGUUCACUAAUCCAGGUACUAAGUUUAUAAAAUAAGUAUAAAUUAUUUUUGUUCAUUCAUUUAUAUACAGCUAAGUUCAUUAAAAUAAUAAAAACUUAAAAUAUUUUACAGCUGAGUGGUGGAUUAAUUAUAGAGAAAGUGCUCCUGAGUUGAGAAAAAUCGCUAUUAAAAUACUGAGCCAAACAACUUCAGCUUCAAACUGCGAGAGAAAUUGGAGCACAUUUUCUCACAUUCACACAAAGACAAGAAACAGAUUGAAGUAUAAAAAAUUACAUGCACUUGUCUUUGUGCACUACAACAUGAGGCUGAAAAUCAGAAAUGUGAUAAGAAAAAGCCAACAGGAGUUAGACAGGAGCUACGAUCCAAUUAAUUUGGAUUAUAUUUUUAAAGAAGAUGAUCCGUUAAACUCUUGGUUGGAGGAAAGAGAAUCUCCAUUGUUUGAUGGGCAACCAAUGUAACAGCCCGAAAACCGGUACCCCUUUGUAACGGCUCCAAACUGCUCGGCGCUAGGAUCCAGAUCGGCUUAAGGCCGCGGGACCCGUAGCAAGCCUGCUAAACUCUCUAAACAUCUGGUAUAAUCCCAUACAUGAUCAACCUAUUACUUUUCAGGCUUAACCUGAGCAAGAUCUGUAACUGAAAACUUGUCUUUUCUCUUUACCAAGCUUAACUCGUGCAUGCACUUACUACUAACUUAACCCCACUCUGGAGUCUACAAGGGCUGCUCCAAUGGAGUAACAUCUCAUUCAUUAAGCUUGGUUACCAUGAAAACGUCUUGAAAACAUUUCAAGCAAAAUGAAAACAUUUAUCUUAAAAAACUCAUGAUCAUGUACCACAUGAAGGGAUUAACCAACACUAGGCAAAGCACAUCUCUAAACCUUAUCUCAUAUACCUUUCUUAACUUUACUCUAUCACUUUACCACAUAUUCUUUCCAUUCAUAACCUUUAUAUACAUCAUGUCCUUACAUCAUGUCCACAACUGCACUAUAUAAGCAUAUAAAACAUAACAUCACUUAAUCUUUAUAUCAAUCUUGCAUAACAUAUACAUGCCACUCAAACAACACUAAGCUAUACUAUUACAUCCAAAACACUAGCCACAACAUAACUCUUGACUCUGCCACCUCUGACUUCCCAUAGCUCACUCUGAUCAAACUCUGGCCCUGCAACACUGGGGUUAAGGGAAAGGGAUGAGCUACUAGAGCCCAGUGAGUAGAAACCAUAAAACAGUUCAUUCAUUCAUUACAUGCUCUCGUGCAAUGCGUCACAGCACAAACAUAUCAUAUCUCGGAUUAGACAUGACCCCAGACACUACAAAAAUCUGUUGGAAUAGUAACGGAUAUUAGUAACGGAUUUAAAUCCGUUAUAAUUUUAUAACGGAUUAGUAACGAAUUUUAUAUUCUGUUACUAAUUUUUAUUAUUUAGUAACGGAUUGACAAUCCAUUACUAAAUCUGUUACUUAAUAAAAUUAUUUAUAAAUUUAAUAACGGAUUUUGAGAUCCGUUAUAAAUCUAUUACUAAAUUAGCUAAAAGUUAGUAACGGAUCUCAAUCCGUUAAUAAAUUUGUUACUAAAUCGGUUACUAAAUAAAUAAAUUAAAUAAAUAAAAUAGUAACGGAUUUAAUAACGGAAUGUUGUAACGGAUUUAAUCUGUUACUAUUUUUUUAAUAAAAAAAUUAAUUUUUUAUUUUUUAAAAUUUCAAAUUUUCUUUUUAAGUUAGUAACGGAUAUAAUCUGUCACUAAAUCCGUUACUGAUACGAAAAUUAGUAACAAAUUCUAUAAUCCGUUACUAAAUUUUAGAAAAUAAAAUACCGCGCUUUUAUUUUAAAUUCCUGCAUUUUUAUUUCUAAUUUAGUAACGGAAAAAAUCUGUUACUGAGUUCAUUACUAAUUUAAAAUUAGUAACGGAUUAAGAAAUCCGUUACUAAAAUUUGAAGAAUAAUACCGCCUUUUUAUUUUAGUUCGCCCGCAUUUUUUUUUUAAAUUUAGUAACGGAUUUAAUCCGUUACUAAAUCCGUUACUAAUUCGCGUAUUUAUACACUCACCCAUUUUAUCUCCCUUCACUUAUUCAUUUUCUUUCUCCCCAUUUUAUUUCCCUUCAUUUCAUUCAUCUUCUUUCUCCUCUUCUCUCAUCAUUUCUUCAUUUCUCCCUUAUCUUAUUUUUUUCUUAAUUAUUAACUCCAUUUUUUUUUCAUUUUCUUUCAUUUCCUUCAAUUUUCUCUUUAAUUUUCUUUCAUUUCCUUCAAUUUUCUCUUCAAUAUUCUUUCAUUAUUGAUCUUCCUUUUAUCACUUGAUUUUUGUUUUAUUUUCUCUCAUAUUUUUUCUUUCAUUUUUUUCUAUUUUCUUUCAUUUUCUUCUAUUUUCUUUCAUUUUCUCUUCCACUUUCUAUCAUUUUCCCUUCCUUUUUCUUUCAUUAUUCAUUCAUUUAUUUUCUUUUCUCUCAUAUAUAUACUCUAACCUUUUUUUUACAUUCUUUUGUAUAUCUUCAUUUUCUCUUUAUUUUUCUUCAUUUUUUCUUCAUCUUUCUCUCAUUUUCUUUCUUUUUUCUAUUUUUUCUUCCUUUUUUCUCAUUUUCUUUAAUUUUCCCUUUUUUCUUAUUUGCUCUUCAUUUUUAUCAUUAUUUUCUUUUAUUUUCUUUCUUUUGUUAUUUUCUCUUUUAUAUCUCAUUUUUUUUUCUAUUCUCUCACAUUUUUUCUUUUUUAAAUUUUCUCAUGUAAUUUUAUAAUAAUUUUCUCAUAAAAUUAAUAAAAUUUAAAAUAUUAAAGUUAAUAUUUAAUAUAAAAUACAAUGAAAAAAUUAAUAGUUUACCAUAAUUAAAUUAUUAUCUAAUGUAAAAUAUAAUGAAAUAAAUUAAUUCCAUUUAAAAAAAAUGAAAUAAAUUAAUAAUUUAAUAUAAUUUUUAAAAUAUUUUUUAAAAUUAACAAUAGAUUUAAUAACGAAAUAUAAAUUUAAUAUAUUUUUUUUAUUUUUUAUUUUAUCAAAUUAGUAACGGAUUAGUAACGGAUUUCUAUCCGUUACUAAAUUUAGUAACGGAUGCAAUUUAUUUAUAUAUUUUUAAUUUUUAUUAAAUUAGUAACGGAUUUGAAAUCCGUUACUAAAUUUCAUUACAAAUCCGUUACUAAAUUCGUUACUAAAUUAGUAACAGAUUGCUAAUCGGUUACUAUUGCAUUAGCAACGAGGUUCAUAGUAACGGAUGUAAAUACGUUACUAAUCUGUUACUAAACUGGUUAGUAACGGAUUUUUCAUUGAUUAGUAACGGAAAAAUCCGUUACUAAUCCGGAAAAAUCUUAUAGUGAGAACUCCCUCUGUCGGUGACCGGCCCCUAAGGAACAUCUCGGUCACUACAUGUACUAGAGCCCGGCCCCUACUACGGAGCUCCCAAAGGUCUUAUCUAGACAUAACAGGUCGCGGGCUACUGGGAUCGCCUUGGUCCAUCCCAUCAACAGUAAAAUAGUGCAAUGCAACAUAGUCGUGAUCUCUAAUGCAAUACAACCUGGUAUCACAUGGCAUUCAUGAUGCGUGUCUCAUGCUCAUACUGUCAUUUCCUUUAAAUAUUAACUUUAAAACAUGCAUAGUUAGUUCUACUCACCUGAAGCCUCUGCUCAGCUAACUCUGGGCCUACUCUAACACUGGAGCUAAACACCUCGCCUCAGGUCCGAUCCUACACAGGUGGUCUCACAUGAGGUGCCAAACAACUCUAAAACAUCUCCCCAAAACCCCUCUAAAGCAUCAUAAGCAUGCAUGGAAAAACAUGCAAAGGAAGGCAAAACAGGGCACCUUCGGCGGCACUUUCGGCGGCCGAAAGUCUCCUCCAGAGACGAAACUCGGGUAGGUUCGGCGGCACCUUCGGCGGCCGAAUGUGCAUGACAGAUCCGAAAGUCCAACUUCCGGAGGCAAGGUUAGGCAGCCGAAACCACCUCCUCAAGGGUUCGGCGGCCGAAACUCCUUUCGGCGGCCGAACCUGAGUUCCUCUAGAACUCAAAUUCAUGCACCAACACACCUCCCUAAGCCUUCCUAACUCUCUUAACAUGCAUACAACCUCUUAAAACCAUGCAUAAACCUCUAAACAUGCAUAAAGGAGCCUAAAACAACCUUAAACUCUAACACUUAACAACAUAUAACACAUAAACACAUACAUAGGCAUAAAGGGCUAUAAAACCCUCCCAUGCAAAACCAUGCAACACAUGCUUCAAAACCCCCAAAACUCUCCAUAAAACUUGCUUAAAACAUCAUAAAACAUAAGGAUCAACACUUACCUCUUGAAGAACUAGAGUUGGUGUGAUCCUAGCUUCAAAACGUGGAGAUACCAAGCUUCUAAAGCUUCAAACUCCAAAACCUUGCUCAAAGCUCACAACUCUUCAAAACAAGGAUAAAAGUCAUGAAAACCUUGAAAGAACUUGUAAAAAACCAUGAAAUCAUACCAAGGAGGACAUGAGCUCACCUUGGGUGGGAAGAGGAAGAAAACUCACCUCUUGAACCGACCUAAGUGGCUUAUAUAGGUGGCUUGGUCAACCACUUUCGGCAGCCAAACAUGCAGGCAAAACCUUCCUACGUUCAGAAGCCGAACAUGGCUUUCGGAAGCCAAAACCAUGCAACCUUCGGCGGCCGAACUUUACCUUCGGCGGCCGAACCUGCAUUUUGCCUCCUUGACCUUUUCUCUCAAAACUCAAAACCUUUUAACUUAAAACCAUCAAAACCCUUAAAACCUUUUUGAAAACCUUUUAGAAAACCUUUAUUUUACCCUUGCUUAACCCUUGACAAAGGGUCCGACAUCCGAGAUUCCACCGGACGGUAGGAAUUCCGAUGCCUGAACGAGCCGGGUAUUACAACCAAAUCCAUGGUUAGAUGAUGAAGAGGCGGGUAAUGCUCCAUCACAGUCUGAAUCUGCCACUCAAACUCAAGGACAACAAGGUGCUGCUGGUGAUGAUGAUUCUUUUAUUUUAUCCAGCUCUAGUAGUGAUGAUGAUGGUGGUGGUGGUGAUCAAGGUGGAGGAGGAACCACAGUUGAAGGAGGUGGUAGUCGUAGUUCACAAGAUCCACCUAGUCAAAGACAAAGUGGAAUUAGAAUUGCUUCUGAACCAUCUCCGAUGCGUACAUAUCAAAGAUCACAAGGCUCUCAUAGUUCUGGUACUGGUGGUGCUGAAACAUCCCAAACAAGAGGUAAGGAUGUUGCAUAUGAGGAGGAGGGGUCAAUUGAUUCAUUAAAUUAUGAAUACAAUGCUGGCACAUAUAAUCCAAAUUUUAUGUAUGGUGGUGGACGUGGACCUGGUGGUAGCUCAUCAUCUGAAGAUACUUCAUCAAAUUAUGGGUUCCAUGGCCAAUUUAGAGGGGUGCCAUAUCCAACAAAUUAUCCUCCUGCAUAUUCAUAUUACCCCUUAUCAAGAGCAGAGUCAGCUUUAUCAUACCCUCAACCAACUUAUGGUGAUCCUAAUGAUAUUAUGGGUGGUGGUUCUUUAUUUAGUUUUGAUCCACAAUAAUACUAUCAACAUCAGCAGCAUCACCUUAAUGAUCAAAGCUCAGAGAGCCAAAGUCAAGACCAACAAGAACCUGCACAAUGUUCUUUUUGGUGGUAGUGAGGUUGGUAAUUUCCUAUUUGGUAUUUAAUUUAAGCUAAAUAGUAUACAUUUGAUAUAUUUAUGUUUAUUAUAUAUUUGUAUAUAUUGUUCUGAAUUAAAUCUAUUGAUAUCAUAUCAUUUUAUGAACUUUGCAAAUUGAUUUGAAAAAUUUGCGUAGCGCCAGGCCGUUACCAUUAUGUUACGGCUGUUACAGACCUAUUUCCGUUACCCGCGACCGCGGCCGCGAUCACCAUUUAAAACCAUGAUCUGAUUUCUGGUUCUUGUUAUAUGCUCUUACAAAAUUCAUCUAAAAUUCAGUGCUCUUACACAUUCUAGAAACACAAUUUAUACAAAAACUGAUUCUCAGGAAAAAAGGGAAAAUAAUGUUAUUUGCAUUGAAUGAACAAAUGAUUAGCUUAGUAGCAAAACUACUUAAAAUCAGAGAAAUUAGAAAUAAAAAAGCAGCACAACAUGAGUCUGGGCAUUGCAUGUUGCAUGAUCGAAACAGAGGUCUUGAGCGAGAAUCUAGAUCCUGAAAUACGCAGGCCUGCAAAAAGUCAUUCGAAGAAGUGUGCAAAACUCCCAUCAUUAAGCUUUCAUUUCUGCUUCCCGCUCAGCAGGAUUACUAUGUACUGAGUUGUUUUCUGAACUGUGACAGAUAGGAAACUUGUCCCGGUGAGUUUUUAUUCCGGGAUGUCAAGGGCACAAUGCGCAGCUUAGUGAAUCUCCAUCAUCUUUGCCACAGGUGUAAGUUAUGAAGAUAGUUGCUAGAUGGAGGAUUUUCACACUAGUGAUUUAGCAUCUGUUUCAAGCCAGAAUCAUCAUUAAAUCACAGAUUUGCUUUACAAGCAAUAACUAGGGGGAUUUCAUAUUACAAGUAGAGUCUUUAUAACCUACUGAAUCGCUUAUUUGCGAAGACAGAAGAAAAGGAGAGCUCACGUUUUGUUUUUACUGCACAAAUACUGCAUAUGGAAUCUGAGUGAGAAGUUACUCCCUAAAAAUUUCAAAAGUGUUUUUGAGAGGUACCUUUGCGCGAAUCUUCUGGCAACAGACUCAAAGAAGUCAUCCAAUAAGUAGAAAUUCAUCUAUGGAAGGCCACACACAUGAAUAGCAGUUCUUUCAAGGCGAAUUAUGCCAAGCCAAUCAAGGAAUUGCUGCCAUGGCAUGUAGUUGUGUUUUCUUAAAGUGUUCGAGUAACUUCUGCACAAGGAAUCAAAUUAAUCUUUAAAUCCGUGAAAUUAAAAAGGAUGCAGAAUUACAAAACUAAUAAUAAGAACAAUAAUAAUAAGAUGGAUAGAAGCAUGACCAGCCAAUGCAUGAUUUCGGCAAGCCUUUGCUUUGGUUCACCACUUCCCAAUGUAGUAAGAAUUUCAACAGCAUCCCAGAAUUUCAAUAGCAUCCCAAUGAUAACUCAUACUUAAUGAGCCUUGAUGGAGAAAUGAAAGUCCAGUUAAAAUUAUUCAAAAUGCAUAUCCACUCGCCAAGAACAUAUGCACCCAGAAAUCUCCUUAAAUAAAUAAGGUUUUAACAAGGUGAAUGCUUUGCUUUUUUCUUUUUUUUUGGGAAGAACUUCAAAGUAAACAAAGGUAAGACUAUUGGGUUUCGAUGUUUACCUUGUGUGGGAGAAAUAUAAUGUUUACACAGAAAUCACAUUUUGUUUUCAGAAUAAAUGGAUUUUUCCACCUCUGCAUUUGACAUUGAAAAAACUUGAAUAAAUACCAAAUAAUUAAGAAAUGCUGCUGAUUUAAUUUACAAAGGAAUGGUGCCUGUGAAGAGAAAUUGACAUAUGGCAAUCACCUUCAGCACAAUCAAUUCUCAUCCUAAGUUAGAAGACUAAUCAAACUAAUUGCAGCAAUAACAUCUUUUCCACGACGUCUACUAACUUCUGCACAUAGAGUCAAAAUUAAUCCGUUAUAUCCAUGAAAAGAAUGAAGGCAGAAUUACAUUAAAAAAUGAAUAAAAAUGAUGGUUAAAAGAAUGACCUGCCAAUGCAUUUAAAAUCUCUUUGAAUUUGUUUCCCACAUCCCAAUUUAUUAGAAUUUCAGGUGAGUAAAAAAGAAAUAAAUGAUUCCUCUAGCUCGAUGAGCCUGUACAUGUGGGAAAAAAGUGUUAAAAUAUUAUCAUAAAGCAAAUAAAUUCUCAAUUAUAAAAAAAAAAAAUAAAAGAAAAAAAAGGUACUCUGUAUAUUGAUCUUGAUUGUAAAGAAAUAAUGACAAAAGGAUACUUACGAACUCAAAGGUAAUACACUGCUCAUUUUGGAAGAAACACAUCCAACACUUCAAAACUUAUCCUUCAUUGAUCUGUGUAAAUAGAAUCAUAGAGUGAAGAUUUUCUCAUGUAAGUUUAAUUUGCAAAUUGGACAGAAAAAGGACCAACUUACCGAAGCUUCAUCAUCCAGUAGAUAGCGGCCCUCUCUUUGAAUUCUUUGGUCAUCAACUUCAAUAUUUGGGAUGUGAGAAAUGAAAGCCCAAUCCGCACCCUUUCUAUUUCCACAUGUUUCCUUCAAUUGGGGACAGUCAUUGAUAUUCAAUUCUCGUAACGAGGUGAGGGAACGCAUCUCUUGAGGCAGACACUUUAUUGCCGGACAAUACACAAUGGUUAGAUUUUGAAGACAAGUGAGAUUCCGCAGUCCAUCUGGAGGUAGAGAUUCGAGCUCUUUAAUGUCCAUAAUGCAAAGGUUCUUCAAUUUAGAGAGAGGAGGAAUGAUUGAGGAAGAAGAAGAGAUUGAUGGUGUGAAUAUUUGGUGCACAAGUUGUGGGCUUGCGUGCAGCAAUUCUAGUGAAUCAUCGAGAGAUGGAAACUGAGGGAUGGAGGUCAAAUUAGGGCAGACCUCACAAGAGAAAUAUGAAAGACAAGGAAAUUGGAGUAGCUCAAGAGCUGUCGAAUCAUCCCUCUUCUUCUGCCAUCCUUUAAGCUUAGGACAAAGAUAUAGCUUGAGAGUCUUUAGGGAUGGAAAGAAUGAUGUUGGUUGUCCCUCAAUCUCCAUGUAUUUUAAAUCAUCUACUCUCGAAAUCUCUAGAUAUUGAAGAGAAGGGAUUUGAUCCAUUGGUGGGAGAUGCUGAUAUCUCUUGCAAUCGCAUAUAGAGAGAUAGACAAGAUUCGUGAGGGAAGAGAACCAACUUGGGAACCUGCUGCCUCCAUAGCCAAGCACACGUAACUCUUUAAGAUUGGGAUGUGGUUGGAGAUUUUGGAAUGCCAUUUCAUCUCUAUCAACAUUUGAAUGUUCCCAACUCUCCUCCCAACGUAAUUCCAAUGAUUGAAGGAAACUUAAUAGUCAACAGUACUCACUGUUCGUGUCAGCUUGCGAUGUGUGUCAAAGGGUGAAGCUAGAGCACCAGAAGCCGGCGGGAAUGCUUAACCCACUGCCGAUUCCAGAGUGGAAAUGGGAGAAUAUCGCUAUGGACUUCAUAGUGGGGUUACCGGCAACGUCCAACAGAUUGGACUCCAUAUGGGUGAUUGUGGACAGACUCACCAAAUCUGCUCACUUCAUCCCUGUCAGGAGUGGCUAUUCUGUGGAUAAGCUGGCGCAGGUGUAUGUGGAUGAGAUUGUCAAGCUGCAUGGGGUUCCUGUUUCUACAGUGUCUGAUAGAGGGCCCCAGUUCACCUCCAGAUUUUGGCGGAGUCUGCAGAGUGCUAUGGGUACCAGAUUGGAUUUCAGUACUGCUUUCCAUCCACAGACUGACGGACAGUCAGAGAGGACCAUCCAGACGAUAGAGGACAUGCUCAGAAUGUGUGUGCUAGAUUUUGGCGGUUCUUAGAGGCAGCAUCUACCCUUGGUGGAGUUUGCCUACAAUAACAGCUAUCAUGCUAGCAUAGGGAUGGCCACAUAUGAAGCUUUGUAUGGGAAGAAGUGCAGAUCUCCUAUCUGCUGGGAAGAAGUGGGAGAAAGGACUCUUGCGGGUCCGGAGUUAGUAGAGCUUACCAGCAGGGUAGUGCCCAUAAUCAGAGAGAGGAUCAAGACUGCUGCUAGCCGGCAGAAGAGUUAUGCAGAUAUCCGCAGAAGACAGCUAGAGUUUCAGGAGGGGGAUUUGGUUUUGCUCAAGGUGUCUCCUAUGAAAGGGGUGGUUCGUUUUGGAAAGAAGGGUAAGUUAGCUCCACGGUAUAUCGGUCCUUUUGAGGUUCUCCAGAGGGUCGGAAAUGUAUCGUACAAGCUGGACUUGAGGUUCUAGAUCACUGUGGUCUGUGGCUCGUAUGCAACCCAAAUUUCUAGUUGACACCUGCAGAGACUCAAAGAAGAUAGAAAACAAAUUAGAGUAAUUCAAAUUUAAGUUGAUUUCUUUUGUUUUUUUAAUUAAUCCUUUGCCUGAGAUCUUUCAUCCGAUUGACUAAGAAUUAUCGGCAAAACCAACGAGAAUGAUAAAAAAGGCCUUCAGUGAGUACUGUUGACUAUUAAGUUUCAGAAAUUGGGAACAUUGUUGCCUUGAUUCACUUGUGUUCUCUCAGAAGAAUUAAAUCCAAGAUGUAAAUUCCCCUUCAGUACUAAGUUAAGAUCUUCCACUUCCAUUCCCUUGUAAGUUAGGAGUUUGACAAUUGAUUUUCCAAAAACACUAUCAAAACCUUUUCUGAAAAAGGAUAUUCCUUCAGAAAUAGAGUUGAGGAAGUCAUCCAGAAUUUCAUUAUUCUUGGCAUUCUUAUUGUAAAAGGAUCGAUAUGCAUCUCUUACAUCUUCUAUAGAAAUAUCCUUUCCAGCCAGUUGCAAAAGAAACACACGAUGAAAGGCAACACCUACUUGCACUUCAUGCAUCAAUGCCAAUGCAAUCACCUUACCAGAAAAUUCAAAACAGUCGUAAUGCAAGGGUUCCAACUUCAAUUCUGCAUAUAUAAUGAAUUAAAAAAUAAUGGAUCGUUACUCUAUAAUUUCUCUUUUCUACUCCUUCCUUCUUAUAUUCUUUAACAUAUAAACAUAUCUAUAUUAGGCAUAUAUCAAUCAUUUCUCAAGAAAAGAGAAAAUCAGGUAAAGUAAUAUAUUAUUAUGGAUGCCACUGACAACAAAUUAAGAUCAAAUUAAAAAGGUAGGAUAGUGCCUGCAAGUUGAUCCAAAUGAGCGUCCAACUGCUUAUGAGCUUUUGGAUCAUCCAUUUGUGAAGGAUAGUGGCUUUUAGCAUCUUUUUUCAAAUUUAGUGAACUCCCUGAAGUUUCUUCUUUAGCCUUAAUUGUGUGAACAUACACCUCUCAUAUUGCUUUCUAAGAGAAAAAGAAAGUCUAGUUAGGUCGUUUAUGAACUUGCAAUGAGUCAAAAUCAUUUUGUAACAUCAUAUUUUAAGUUUGGUACGUGUAUGCUGUGUUUUGAGUUGUAGCUGUUGAUUCUCCUAUGCUGCGUUUGUAAAAGACCGUUAGUCCUCAAUUUUGUUUGUAAUGAGUUUUUUCGUUCUCUCGCCUCAAAUACACGACACAUCGGACUUAACCGCUCAUUUAUCCAAUGUGAAUUAUCUUCAAUUAUAUAUACUGUUUUUGGAUUAAAAUGAUGAAAAGCAGUCAUGAAUCUAUGCAAACGACUGUAUGAUUCAUAUUUAUCCCUCACUUCGACUUGUAGGGUAGCAAUUUUUAUAUAUGGCUCCUGUUCAAUUAAUGCAAAUAUAAAUGAACAAAUAAAAUUUUCAUCCAAUUGGUUAUGGUUUUUUGUCAACUGAGAAUUUGUGCAUGUGUGCAACUCACUGUAUCUCGUAAUUUUCCAUAUAUCCUCCCCUUCUUUUUUGGAUGUUUGAAGCCUCCAUGCACACCCACUUUCUUUGUCUUUACACUUUAUAGAAUAAGUCUUCUCUCUUGUUGCAUGAUAACAAAAUUGAUGAUGAUAUUUUUUUGCAGCCGCAGCCACUGCAUCUCUUGAAAAAAUAUCAUCCAAACUGAAAAUUCUUUAGAAGGAUCCCAAAAGGAACGACCUUCUGGCCUAUCAUAAGGAUCCACUCUCAGCAAAUCGAAGUCUAUUUCUGCGUAUGGGGGAUGAUGAACAACAGACACAAUAGGAUUAGGAAAUUGUGUGUUGUAAUAUCGAGACUCACUCCCACUAUCUUCCUGACCAUUAUCAUCCUCAUCAUCCUCAGAAGACAUCCAUGAAUCAUCGUCAUCGUCAUCCUCGUUGUCAUUCUCUACUGCAUCAGAUAAAUUAAUUGAUGGCCCUGUAAGACUUUUAGAUAAACCAUAAUCAUCAACUACAUUUUGCUCUUCACAUGAAUCAUCAUUUGAUUCCACAGCAGUUUCAGAUUGACCAAUAUCAGCAUCCUCAUUUGUAGUAUCAACACAACGAAGUAUCUUAACAUAUAUUUCUAUACCAAGUAUACCACCAAUUUGAUACAAGUAAUUAAACAUACUAGAUACAUCAUCUUCACCCCAUAUCUCCAUACAUUAAAUUUUAAGGAUCCAUCCACAAUUGUAGACUUUCUAAAACUAAUUGUCUAUAAAUUCAUUAUUCUCGGAUAAUCCAAUUGCACAAGCAAUUUUACCGACCAAUUGAUUAAAACUUAUCUGUAUACCCAUUGGAAUAAUCUUUGAAAAACCUCCAUCAUAAUCGUAACCAUUACAACUAUUUAUAAUAUUAUCAUCCCAAUGAAUAUUAGUAUAUACAGGAACUGUCAUUUCUCUGAUAAAAAAAAAUAGAAUAAUAAAUAAUUUGAUCUCAAUUUACUAUAUACAUAAAAAAAAUAAAAAUUUAGAAUAUAAAAUAUUUAAAACUUACCUGCGUUUCUCUUUUUGUAGUCGAAUCGAUAAGAGUAGAUAUAAUAAUUUUGUGAAAUUUGUAGAGGAGAAUAAAUAGUUUAUAGAACGCAAUUUGUUGAGAUAUAAUGCAGAUUUUGAGUAAUUUAUAGAGUAGUGGGUGAGAUAAUUUAUAGAGAGAUCGGAAAGGGGCGAGCUAAAGUGAUUUAUAGAGUGGUGAGUGGGAUCAUUUAUAGAGAGGUGUGGGAGUAGUAGCCGUUGGCUAGUUCGGCAGUGAUGGUGCCGAACUAGCCGUUGCCGAACUUAUUGCUCCGUACAUGUAGACAAAGAAGCCACGGACUGCACAGGAGGAAUUAAUUGUACAAGAAUUUGUUCCACACCAUCACUGCCGAACAAAUUUCUGUGCAAUGAACCUGCAUGCAUGCACGGUCCUGCAGGUUCAGCUCUUCGGCACUAUAAGUGCCGAAGAGUUUUCUUCUUGUGCGUGUUCGGCACCUUGUGUGCCGAACACGUCAUGCUGGCAGCCACGGGAGCAGAUUACACUGCUCCGUGGCACGGAUCAGCUUGUUCGACACCAUGAGUGUCGAACAAGCUGAAAAACAUCAUGUUCGAUACCUAUAGUGUCGAAUAAUAGGAAGUUUGUACAGCCAUAUCUUUUAGUGUACCAUAGACACAAAGUGAGCAAUUUGAACAAUUUUAGAAUUUCAAUUCAAAUGUGUAUAUAUUUUCUUGUUUUAUUUCUUCCAAAAAUCUGCAAAUGAUGUUUUAUUGUUCUUUUUCUAAACAAAUCAUGUGACCAUAUUGUAAUAAUUUUGUUCAUUUAAUUUGUACAACACAGAAACAAUCUUUUACAAACACAGCACAGAAGAAUGAAGCACAACAUACACCAACCUUAAAACAUGAUGUUACAAAAUGAGCGAUUCACUGCAAGUUCAUGAAUAAAUCUGCUACCUUUUUUUUUUUUUUUCUGAAGGAAGUAAACGUGAACAAAAGCUCAUAAAACAUUGAACAUUUGUUCACACCAUUCAAGCUGAAAAGAAAUUUGAGAAAUGCUAACAGCCAGAAUCCUUCACAAACAGAUGAUUCAAAAGCUGAGAAGCAGUAGGACGCUUUUUUGGAUCAACUUGCAGGCACUUCAUGAUAAAAUCUCGCGCAUUCUCUGACAGAGAAUAAUUAGGAAGAUGAUUUCGAAGUGUCCCUUUUUCAACCUCCAAUUCUAGAUUUGCAUCCCAAUCAUUCACAUGAGAGUAUGGAUAAUUCCCAGUUAACAUCUCCAAGACAGUGCAGCCAAGGCUCCAAAUAUCAGCUUCAACUCCAUACUCUUUGUCCUUUUUCAUAACCUCUGGAGCUAUCCAGUCUAUUGUCCCAUGGCGAGACUUCAAAAGAGGAACUAAUUCUGUCACUUUUGCCAAUCCAAAAUCUGUAAUUUUCACGCAUCCUUUCUCAUCCACUAAUAUAUUUGCACAUUUGAUGUCUCUGUGAACUACCUUUCGCUCAUGGAGAUACUUCAAACCUUCUAGUAUCUGGUUGGUGUAGUAGGAGACUUGGGAGUCUUUCAAUUUAAAACUUUUAUAUACUUGUCGGAGGGAACCUGUGCUUACAAGCUCAAGAAAAAUAUAGACCCCUGACUUAUCCUCCUCAGUACCAUAGUAUUUGACUAUAUUUGGAUGACGUAAUUGACACAAUAAAUUAACUUCUUGCUGAAUUCUGUCAAUUUCUUGCUUAAUUUUGUCUUUGAUUCGUAUUUUCUUUACCGCGAAAAAGAAACCACCAUCUGCAUAUCCCUUGUACACGUUUCCAGAAAUCCCUCCUCCCAGAGUCUUCUUACGGUCCAUUCGCCACUCUGACUUGUUAAUAUUAAGUCCUUGUCUAUUAAUCUGCAAGUUAUUCAAUAUAUUUUCAACAUUAAAAAUUAAUAGAAUUGCAGUAGUACUCCUGGUUAUGCUAAUAAAUCUCACAAGAUUUCUUCUAAAAUAUUUGCAAUACCUGCAGUAAAAUCGUGAAAUUGCUAAAAGGUCAUAGAAAAAAAGUCCAGGAACCUACAUGAUUGCUUUAGAAAGACGACAAAACAAGCAAUUUAUUAACAAAGAAGAUUUCAGCAACUCAUGUAUUGUAUUUGAAAUUAGUCUUCGUAGCUGGAUAAGUACUGAAAACAUAUAGGAAACAACAGUUAUGUUAUGAUAACACUGAAAUUUUUGUAAGCGCGUACCUUCAGGAACUGAGACAUCAGAGGAUCACUCGCAUGUGUUAUCUCUCCAGAAAUAAAUUCAAGAUUUAAUUUUCCCUUUAGCACCAGGUUAAGAUCUUCAAGUUCUAUGCCCUUGAAAGAUAGCAGUUGGACGAUUGAUUUUCCAAAAACACUAUCAAAGCCUUUUCUGAAAAAGGAUAUUUGUUCAGAGAUAGAGUUGACUAAGUCAUUCCGAAUUUGAUCAUCAUCAAGAAAACAUUCCUUGGCCUUCUUAUUGUAAAAAGAAGGAUAUGCAUCUUUUACAUCUCCUAUAGAAAUAUCCUUUUCCGCCAGUUGAAAAAGAAACAUACGGUGAAAGGCAACACCUAUUUGUAGUUCAUGCAUCACUGCCAAUGCAAUCACCUUGCCAGAAAAUUCAAAACAGUCGAAGUGCAAUGGUUCCAGCUUCAGUUCUGCAUAUAUAACAUAUGACCAAAAACGGAAAAAGAAAAACUAUACUUAAAACGGGAUAUUAAUAAAUUUAAGAUAAAAAGGAUUUUUAUGGCAUAUUUCUCGUAUUAAAUGUAUUUUUAUUGGUUUACAUUAUGAUUAAAUUUAAAAAAUUUGCAGUUUUUUUUAAUAUGGAAAAAAUGUAAAAUCUAGAAAAAAAAAUAAUCGGAAUUAGUAGUCUUAGAAUCUAUUUGUACAAAAAUAAAAGAUAGAUUUAAUUUUUCGAGUGAUCUGAUCAUGCGGGGUAGUACAAGAAUAUUCACCUGUUGUCCAUCGACUACGCCCUUCAGCCUGAUCUUAGGCCUUGACUCACUUUUCGUGGACGAACCUUGCGGAGGAACCCUUAUAUCACAUGUUUCGUGAAUUUACAUAUAAUUUAGGUAAAAGUCAGAGAUGACAACUUAUUAGUAAAACUUUUUAUUGUACAUAUUAAUAAAUAUAAAUAAUCUUUUUAUUAUGCAUUUUGCGUCGAAUGUGUACGGUCAAUUUAUGCCAUCAUCUAUUAACUAUCUGUCAUACCCUAAAUACUUUCAUAUCUUAUUGUUUUAAUACCUAAUCGUAUUGUCUCACAUGUACAUAGCUAGCCGAAAGGAAUGAGAAGAAAAACUUAAAAAUCUUAUGCCAAGUCCAAUAUUGUAUGCUACAUGUCGUAAAUUAAUUAUAUGAUGAAGUUGUGACAUAAGGGUUAUAUCAAUCAUUUAUCAAGGGGAAAAAAAAAAUAGGAGAAGCAAUAAUUACGGAUGCUAUUCAUAGGAUCUUACCAGGAUUAGGGUAGAACUUCGUAGGAUCAUUUGGGCACGCCAAGAAAAGCAGAUUUUGCGGUUUGAAUAUAACUUGGCAUAACUUGUAUAACCAAUCCUGCAACUUUUUAGGACUGGUGAGCUUCUUAUUUUUCAAUGCUUCAAACAUCUCUUCGUCCAGAAAUCUAGACCAGUGAAUGAGUGGCUUGUAGAACUCUGCAUCAAGUAAUUUUUCCUCGGGGAUCAUCAUCAUGGUGACUAAGUGCAUCCUGGAUUCAGAAUCAAUCACAUCAUUGUGCUCAAGCAGCCAGUGAUAAUCAUCUUCUCUAGUAGUUGUUUCAAGUAUCAGUCGUAAUGAACUCUGCUGCCUCUUCAAUAAAAGCCGAAACUGCUCCCUUUCACUCUCCCAUAGUUGAGAAAUGCUAUUCAAUUCUUUCAAAAUGUCCAGAUAUAAAUGCGAAACAGAACACAAACAACCACUUGUUUCGAAUAGUUCUGCUGUUAAUAGUAAACCAUGAAGAUGACCCUCCAUGUCUGUAGACAGGUGAUUGAAUGCUUCUUUAGUUGGGACUGAAAACCAUGUCAAUGUUUCUUCAUCGUCACCGUCUAUAUAGCCAAUUGCAUUGCGCACUACACAUGAAAAUGCCUGAAAUUCACCAAAAAGAAAUUUCAAUGAAUCAAUGUGUGAACUUGGAUUUGAUACGCGGAUCUGAACCAAACCCUUGCAUAAUGUGCUUGUCAUCUCAUAAAGGAAAGAACAAAUUGUCAGCACUGUUUCUGGCUCCUCAAAGAGUUUGAUCUUAAAUCUACUUCUUUCCACCAACUGUUUGAGAGAAGUCCGACAUGACUGAUACAGAGGAUCUUCAUUAGUUACUUGAUGUCGAAGUAAUUUACAGAAUUCUAAAGCCAAUAGUCUACAUUCUGGAAGAAAAUCAUCUGGACGAUUCAAUAAAUAAUGCAUGGAAGACAAUAUCAAAGCUCUAGCAUAGGCUUUCUGUUGUUUAAUUCUUGACCUGUAAAACAUAACCAAAGUCGCAGGGACAGAAUACGCAAUCAGAAGAAGCUCUGAUUGCUCGUUUCUUUCAGGUGCCAACAGUGCAAACAUCUUAUGCGCUAGUGGACAGUAAUCUAUCCGCGAGACAGAUUUCUCUCGGUACAUUCGACAAAUGGUCGAACUGAUUUGGUGGAUCAUUUGAAAAAGUUCCGAUUCGCCGUCGAGUUCAACCACCAAUUUGAGCCAAGCUUUGUUUUGAAUUGAGCAGUCUUCAAGCGUCUUAUUCCACUCUAGCUUCUCACCUUUGUAAUAUAAUUUCUGUUGCGUAACUGGAAUUUUGGAGAUCACCAGGAUUUUCUGCUGGAUAAAUUGUACUUCAAAAUUGGAUUUCACAAGAAUUUUUAUAGGUUUACGUUUCGGCAUUCUGACAAAUAAAUGAAAGGAAUUGGAUUCACUAUUCGCCAUCAGCUCUAGAUCACUGUGGUCUGUGGCUCGUAUGCAACCCAAAUUUCUAGUUGACACCUGCAGAGACUCAAAGAAGAUAGAAAACAAAUUAGAGUAAUUCAAAUUUAAGUUGAUUUCUUUUGUUUUUUUAAUUAAUCCUUUGCCUGAGAUCUUUCAUCCGAUUGACUAAGAAUUAUCGGCAAAACCAACGAGAAUGAUAAAAAAGGCCUUCAGUGAGUACUGUUGACUAUUAACUCUUCAGUGAGUACUGUUGACUAUUAAGUUUCCAACAUCCUUUGAGGAAAUAUGCCCUUUUGCCACUACGAACAGUGACAACGUCUGAAGUGAACUCAACUGCCCAAGCCCACGUGGCAUAUGAGUCAAAGAGAAACAACCUUGACAAUACAAAUGCCUAAGAUUCACAAGCUUUUUAAUAUCUUUAGGCAAUUCUUUGAGGUUGUAACAAGAAGAGACAUUUAAUACUUGUAAAUUCAGCAAAUCCGUAAUAGAAUUUGGAAGUGCUAUAAGACUCUCUAUAUUAGAAACAUUAAGAUAUCUUAAAUAUUUUAGCAUUUUUAUAGAGCUAUCCAUCAUAUUUAUUCCACAUGAAUACAUCCUAAAUACACGCAAAAAUUUUAAAUUAUGCAAAAAUUUUAAAUUUUUAUGAAUAAAUAGCCAAUCAUGAUCAUGUUUCCUAAGCAGACCAUGAUCAUGUUUCCUAUUCAGAAAUAACGAUCGUAUUCUUUUUGCGUUAUUAAGAAUUUCUUGUGGUGCAACAUCAAAAUUCAACGCUACAUGAUGGGUUUUCUCAUCAAUAUUUGGUGCAUCAGAAUUUAUCAGCUGAAUUCUCUUUCCACCCACUGUGGUUGCGAGAUCGUGCAUUAAAUCAUGCAUUUUACAGCUUUCAACAUUUCCACAUCUAUCUCUUUCCACCUCUUGAAAAAAUGACCUCCACCACAGUUUCAUAAAAUAUUCAAGCCCAAUAUCUUCAAGACAAUCACUCGUACUUGGUGACUCAAUAAACCCUUGUGCAAUCCAAAGAUGGAUUAAUAUUUUCACAUUAAUCACAGAAUCUUUUAGAUAUAUUGCGCAAUAUGCAAAACAAUGCUUCAAAUGUGAUGGGAGAUGAUCAUAACUUAGCUUCAGUGUUGGCAUAAUAUCAUUACCAUCUUGACUUAUUCUUGAGAGUUCUUUUGUUAAAAAGGGCAGCCACUCAGUUUGUGGAUUUUUCGCAUACAAGAGACUUGCAAUAGUUUUUAUUGCAAGAGGAACUCCACGACAUUUCUUCAAAAUCUCCUUUCCCAUCUCUCUUACAUUUGCAUGUUUUGGCUCCUGCCCCUCAAGUGCUACAUGCAAAAACAAAGACCAAGACUCAUCCGGAGACAACCCUUCCAAAACAUGUGGUGCCAUUGUGCUAGACAUAUCUGCCACCUUUUUAGAGCGAGUGGUUAUUAAUAUCUUACUUCCACUAGAGCCACCCACUAAUAAUCUCUUUAAAUUCUCCCAUUUUUCUCUAUUCUCAUUCCACACAUCAUCUAGAACAAGCAGAUAUUUCUUCCCACUAAUAAUUUUUUCCAGUCUAGACUUCAAUGCUUCUAACCCAAGAUCUUCCGAUCUAUUCCCUGUUGCAGACUCUAGAAUCUUUCCAACAGUCAUUUUCACAUCAAAAGGUUCUGAAACACACACCCAUAUUCUUGGCUCAAAUGAAUUCUUAAUCAAUUCAUCAUUGAAUAUGAUUUGAGCAAGAGUGGUCUUCCCUAAUCCUCCAAUUCCAACAAUUGAGAGGACUGAAACACACUCUUCACCAUUGGAAGACAAUACAAGUUCUGUAAUUGCCUUUUUGUCACCCUCUCUCCCAAUAAUCACUUCAGGUAAAGAGGACGUAGUUUGAUCCCUCCAUACAAUACUCUCCUGAUCAGUACGAACCUCUAAAUUAAAUUUUCUGUCAGCUUCAAUAUCAGCUAGCCUCUCCCUAAUCGCCUUAACUUUAUGACCCAUUUUAAAACCAUAAACAAGUUGAUUUGAAGACGAAAAGAAGAGACUUACCUCCUUUGUCAUUCUAUUUCCAGUCAUCACUCGGCGCCUUAGAGCUUCUGUGGCGAAGUCAUCUACCAAGUCAUCAGCAUCAUAAACAACUUCUUCUAGCCUCUCAAGCCAGCCUUUCACUUGACGGUUAAGUUUCUGCUGCUCCUCAGCAUCCAGAAGAACGUUGCGAAUACUAGAAACUGUGGCCUCAAGUUUCUUAAGCUCACCUUUGACGCCCCACCACAAUCCGAUCUCAUGAAGGGCUCGAGAACCCAGCUUGGUAAUGAUAUCUCUGACAACGUUAGAGAGAACUCCGUCGGCCAUUUUGGGUGUUUUGGUUUGGUUGUAAAAGGAUGAAAUGUUGCUGUGAAGAAGAAGAUACCGACAACAAAUGACUAAUUUAAAGAAAAAAAGAAGCGGAGGAAAAAGCAUCUUCUAAAUGAUUAUGUUCGGUCGGUCAGCUUUUUGGAGGGCCCCGGUUUGCUUUAAUUUAAAAAGUAAAAUAUAUUAACAAAUUUAUAUAUAGAAUGAAAGUAAGUUAUUUUUUUAAAAGUAAUUUUAUUUAUUUAUUAAAAAAUAUUUUUAAUUAAUUAAAUUUUAUGAGCGACUCAAACGUUAAAAAAUAUAUAAUAUAUUUUUAAUAUUGCUGAGUUUAGAUUAAUAUCGUAGUUAAAAUAAAAAUUAUGCUGUGAUUGAUAUAGAAGUUUUCUGGGUCAAGUGUCAACUCUCAGUCCUUAAACUCUGCAGCAUCUGUUUCUACUUAGUUUUCUAGAUGUGCUAUAAUUAAUCUAGCUUUCUAUGACGUGUUUGGUUCCGUGUUUUCCUUCCAUUAUGUUUCAUUGCAAACUUCUUGGUGGGUAUUCUAGUCAAAAUUAUCCUUGCUUCUCCUUCUCCAUGCAUGAUUUACUUCUCCAUGCAUGAUUUAAUUAUAUGUAAUUAUAUCAAGUAAUAUUUUUAAGUUUAUAAUAAAUUUUUUAUUUUAAAAUUAAAAAUAGUAUAUAUUAGCUCCAUGCAUGAUUUAAUUAUAUGUAAUUAUAUCAAGUAAUAUUUUUAAGUUUAUAAUAAAUUUUUUAUUUUAAAAUUAAAAAUAGUAUAUAUUAGUUAGAUUUAUGAUUCUCCUUUAUUAUUAUUAUUUUUUAUUUUAUAAUAAUAAAUUACAUAUUUAAUUAAUAAUUUUUUAUAUUAUUUUGAAUCAUAGAAAAUAAAAUAUUAUGAUAGAUUAUCAAUUAAUAAUUUAAAAUUUAAAAUUUAAAAUCUAAAAAUAAAAAUAUAUAUUAAUAAGUUUAUAUUAUUCUAUAUAACCGUAAUAUAAAAUAUUUUAAUACUCCCACAGUGUGCAGCUAAACCGCUGGUUAAAAAGUAUUUUUGAAUCCUUCCUCUGUCUUAAUCUCAGUCUUCUGGCAACGACAAAGCAGCAGCUUCCUACCAAUUCCUUCAAACCCAAAUCCUUCAAAUGCGGGUCUUAUUAAUUCAGCUCUUUAGCCUCUGUUUUUGCAGUGUCGUCAUCUGGGUUUCUACCGCCUCCAAAUCCAGCUUUUCUACCUUCUGGGUCUGCCGGUAUUUUGCUUGAAUCGGCUUUUUGCUUCCGAGGUAUUGGUGGCAGCUUCGUCAUAGUAGCUAGUGGUUCCGCUUUUUAUUUUAUUUUAUUUUGGAUAUCUUUUUGUAGACCAUAUUGUGAUCUUAUGUGAGAAUGUUAAAUAAUUUACCAGUAGCUAUCCAAAUUUUAAGCAGGGGACUGUGACUUGCUGUAAAUUACCUAGCCUUCAGCAUAUUUUUCAAAAAAAAAAAAAAAUCUUUAGCUUCUACAUUUGCAAAUUCCUUGCUUUUCCAUCUUUUUGCUUGCAAAGAUCACACCUUUGUUAGAACUAAUUCAAAGAAAAAAUGAGUGGAGAAGGAAAGGUGGUCUGUGUCACAGGAGGGUCUGGUUACCUAGCAUCCUGGCUAAUCAAAUUCUUGCUUCAAAGAGCCUACACUGUCAAAGCCACUGUUCGUAACCCAAGUAAAUCCCUCCCUAUCUGUCUCUUUGUUGCCUACAAGCUCAGUUGGGUCAUUGAUGAACCUUAAUUUUUUUGAAUGAGCUUCAGCUUUUUAUUUCUGGGUUCUGGGUUUGUUUUUAUACCGACUUUUGUUGUGACUGGGGAUCUAAUCUUUAUGUUUUACUUAUUGUUUUGACUUCAUUUUAUUCAAUUUCAUGGGGUAUUUACUAGCUUAUAGCAUUUUUUGAUGUGGUGUUGUUGAUUACUGAUAAUUUUAUAUCCUGCAAUUUGCUUGUUAAGAAUGAAUUGAAUCAGCCCUCACUUCGAUUGAGUAGCUAAAUGACUUAACUUUUUUCGUCUAUCAUUAUUUUGAACACAAACCAAGGACGAGGGAAAGAAAGCAAGGUUGAUAAUGUACUAGCAUUUGAGUAAAAUUUUACUAAACUGAUGUGAAAUCUUAAAUUAGUUUUCUUGAUUUAGUGUUUCUUUAACUUCCACUGUUCUCAUUGGACUCAUGCUUUCAGCUCUUUGAAUCUGUAUUCUGUACCCAGAUGAUCUGAAGAAAACUGCAUACUUGCUUGCACUUGAGGGAGCAAAGGAAAGGCUUCAAUUGCUCAAAGCUGAUUUAUUAGAAGGAGGAUCUUUUGAUGCUGCAGUUGAUGGGUGUGAAGCUGUUUUCCACACAGCUUCCCCUGUAUCUCUUCAAGCCAAUGCGGAUCCUCAGGUCCAUCAUCUUUGACAACCUUUUCACUGCCUUUAUAUGUCGAUAGAGUUCCUCUGUUUAGCACCUAAACUGCAAUUUCUGAUUGUUCUGUUGUCAUUUGGCAUUACAUUUUCUCGUAUGUCUCUAUAAUAGCUCGUGCACUAUCUGUGUCAUUUGAUUAUGUUGACAUAACUACUGCUUGAUAGGUUUAGUGUCAUAUAAGAUGUAACUGUUCGUUGUUGGCUAUUUCGAUGGUUCAGGUAGAACUAGUUGAUCCUGCAGUGAAGGGAACACUUAAUGUUCUUAGAUCUUAUGCAAAAGUUCCUUCUAUCAAGAAAGUGAUUAUAACAUCUUCAUUUGCUUCUCUUCCAUAUAAUGGAAAAAAUUCUGGCCCCUGAUGUAGUUGUUGAUGAGACUUGGUUUUCUGAUCCAGCUGUUUGUGCGGAACGGAAGGUUUGUCUUCUAUUAUAAUGCUACUCAUUAUCUUAUGACCCUGAAAUUAGUUGCUUAACCCUCCGUUUGGAAUCAAGAAUUUGGCAAGAACAAUUUAAUUGAUUUCUUUUCUAACAAUUCUUUGGUUUAGAAUGAGUAAAUUCAAUUUUUUUAACUUGAAAAAUUGUCAUUUUAAAAGAAGUAUAAUUCUUGCGUGAUUUUGCAAGAAUUCUUUGAAAUUCUCUUCUUGCAAAAUGAACCAUGCCAAGCAAGGGAUAAAAGGAGAUGAAAAUGUAGAAUAAUAAUAUUUGUUGUUGUAUUUCAUAAUAAAAAUUACAAUCUAUUUAUAUAUAAAAGAUAAUAUCUAAACAGGAAAGGAAAUCAAGUCUAUGAUUGUAGAAUCCUAAGAUUAAGCAACUAACCCAUCUAUCAAUAUUUAAUUGCUAUAUUAAUAUAUUUACUUCCUAUAAUCUAUAACACUCCCCCUCAAGUUAGAAUGUAAAUGUUAAUCAUGUCCAACUUGUUACAUAUAUAAUCAACUCGUCCCAUACAACUUAGUAGACAUCGAAUUUGUGAACCCAACUUUUUCCAAUAGUCGACGUACCUAUAAAACUUCACAAACAGUUUUUGCCAUUACUCGACAUUCAGGUUCAGCACUAGAAUGGGAGAUUACAUUUUCUCAGCUUGGUAAAACACUUUACACACAUCAUAAAUACGAGAAAUAUUCCCUUUGCCAGAAUAUAGAAAUUCCAAAUAUUCCAUUAAUUAUUUAACAAAUUCAGAGUGAUUAAUAAGACUAAUCACUCAACUGUGAAUAGAAUUUUGAAUCUGUGAAUAGUAUUCGUGAACAAUAUCCGAUGAACAGUACUCGUGAACAGUACCGAUAAAUAAUUCCCGUGAACAGUGCCCGAUGAACAGAGUCCUAAAUCUCCAAAUGUUACCCUUUAUGAGUAACUCGAUGAAUAAUUCCCGUGAACAGUACCGAUGAAUAGAGCCCUAAGUCUCCGAAUGUUACCCUUUAUGGAUAACCCAAAUGAACAGAGUCCUAAAUCUCUAAAUAUUACCCUUUAUGAGUAACCCAAAUGAACAAAACCCUAAAUCUCUAAAUGUUACCCUUUAUGAAUAACCCAAAUGAAUAUAGCUCUAAGUCUCCAAACGUUACUCUGUAUGAGUAACCCAAGUGAACAGAACCCUAAAUCUCUAAACGUUACCCUUUAUGAGUAAUUCAAAUGAAUAGAGCCCUAAGUCUCCAAAUGUUACCCUUAUGAGUAACCUAAAUAAACAGAACCCUAAGUUUCUAAACGUUACCCUUUAUGAGUAACCCAAAUGAACAGAGCCCUAAGUUUCCAAAUGUUACCCUCUUAUGGUUAACCCAAAUAAACAGAGUCCUAAGUCUCUAAAAGUUACUCUUUAUGGUAACCCAAAUGAAUAGUAUCAAAAAGACACCUCCACCCAACACCCAAACGGUAAACGAACCACAAAUCUGACAAGAGAGCUGCAAGACGACUUUGGCAUCCUCUUUAGGUGAACGGUGAGAGACAAAUAUUAUCCUAAAUGGAUAACACAAAAAAACAGGAGUCCUGAAUCUCUAAAAAUUUAAAACUUGACGAGAGAGAAAAAAUAUAAUUCUCUACAAACAUGGCUCUGAUACCAUGUAGAAACAUAAUAUUUAUUGUUGUAUUUCAUAAUAAAAAUUACAACCUAUUUAUAUAUAAAAGAUGGUAUCUAAACAGGAAGGAAAAUCAAGUAUAUGAUUAUAGAACCCCUAAGAUUAAGCAACUAACCCAUCUAUCAAUAUUUACUUGCUAUAUUAAUAUAUUUACUUCCUAUAAUCUAUAACAGAAAAAAAGGAUAAAUGACCAUCAUGGUUUGUCCUUGAGCACAUCAAUCUUGAUUACUUCUAAUUUAGCCAUCCCCAUUGGAUGCUUGUGAUGAUACAAUGAAAUUUAUCAACUUGAUUUUAUAUCUUAAACUGUUUUGUUUAUGAGAUAAUUUGGUCUUUUGUUUCUCCAGCUUUGGUAUCAACUUGGGAAAACGUUAGCUCAGCAGGCUGCUUGGGAGUUUGCAAAAAACAACAGGAUGAAUUUGGUUACAAUACAUCCGGUGUUUGUCCUUGGUCCUCUUUUGCAGCCAACUAUUAAUAACUCUAUCGAGAUACUUUCCAACCUCAUAAANNNNNNNNNNNNNNNNNNNNNNNNNNNNNNNNNNNNNNNNNNNNNNNNNNNNNNNNNNNNNNNNNNNNNNNNNNNNNNNNNNNNNNNNNNNNNNNNNNNNNNNNNNNNNNNNNNNNNNNNNNNNNNNNNNNNNNNNNNNNNNNNNNNNNNNNNNNNNNNNNNNNNNNNNNNNNNNNNNNNNNNNNNNNNNNNNNNNNNNNNNNNNNNNNNNNNNNNNNNNNNNNNNNNNNNNNNNNNNNNNNNNNNNNNNNNNNNNNNNNNNNNNNNNNNNNNNNNNNNNNNNNNNNNNNNNNNNNNNNNNNNNNNNNNNNNNNNNNNNNNNNNNNNNNNNNNNNNNNNNNNNNNNNNNNNNNNNNNNNNNNNNNNNNNNNNNNNNNNNNNNNNNNNNNNNNNNNNNNNNNNNNNNNNNNNNNNNNNNNNNNNNNNNNNNNNNNNNNNNNNNNNNNNNNNNNNNNNNNNNNNNNNNNNNNNNNNNNNNNNNNNNNNNNNNNNNNNNNNNNNNNNNNNNNNNNNNNNNNNNNNNNNNNNNNNNNNNNNNNNNNNNNNNNNNNNNNNNNNNNNNNNNNNNNNNNNNNNNNNNNNNNNNNNNNNNNNNNNNNNNNNNNNNNNNNNNNNNNNNNNNNNNNNNNNNNNNNNNNNNNNNNNNNNNNNNNNNNNNNNNNNNNNNNNNNNNNNNNNNNNNNNNNNNNNNNNNNNNNNNNNNNNNNNNNNNNNNNNNNNNNNNNNNNNNNNNNNNNNNNNNNNNNNNNNNNNNNNNNNNNNNNNNNNNNNNNNNNNNNNNNNNNNNNNNNNNNNNNNNNNNNNNNNNNNNNNNNNNNNNNNNNNNNNNNNNNNNNNNNNNNNNNNNNNNNNNNNNNNNNNNNNNNNNNNNNNNNNNNNNNNNNNNNNNNNNNNNNNNNNNNNNNNNNNNNNNNNNNNNNNNNNNNNNNNNNNNNNNNNNNNNNNNNNNNNNNNNNNNNNNNNNNNNNNNNNNNNNNNNNNNNNNNNNNNNNNNNNNNNNNNNNNNNNNNNNNNNNNNNNNNNNNNNNNNNNNNNNNNNNNNNNNNNNNNNNNNNNNNNNNNNNNNNNNNNNNNNNNNNNNNNNNNNNNNNNNNNNNNNNNNNNNNNNNNNNNNNNNNNNNNNNNNNNNNNNNNNNNNNNNNNNNNNNNNNNNNNNNNNNNNNNNNNNNNNNNNNNNNNNNNNNNNNNNNNNNNNNNNNNNNNNNNNNNNNNNNNNNNNNNNNNNNNNNNNNNNNNNNNNNNNNNNNNNNNNNNNNNNNNNNNNNNNNNNNNNNNNNNNNNNNNNNNNNNNNNNNNNNNNNUAUCACGAAUAUCAUGUAUUUAUAUGAUUAGAAUGCUUUGCAUUAGAAUUCACGAAUAUGAUGCAUUGUAUAAUUUAUUAUUGUUGUUGAUAAAUGUUGGAUGACCUACUAGCUCUCGAGUAUGUUACGACGGAUAUGAAAAGACUAGAGCUUGCCUAUUCUACGCUCUUGGCACUGUAUAAGAGAAAGACCAGGGUUGCCCAUUCUACGCUCUUGGCACUAUGGAUGUAUUAUCUUAUGUUUAAGAGGAAGUUCUGAAGAGCACUCGUUGUGAGCCAGUCACUAUUGGAAUCUAUAGAGGAUCACUGGUGACAAGUCCAUCUUGAUAUAAAUUGUUUGUAUUGUGACGCAUUUAUAUGAUCAUAUGUCUUAUUAAACUGCUCUUUAUGUUUUUGCUCACUAGACUUUUGUAGUUUAUCCUUUUUCCUUAACUCCAGAUUUGCAAGAUCAGAGUUAGCUCAGGAGGUGGGCCGAGUUAUUGGUAUAGGCCAAUGUAAUAGCAUAGCAAUGGACAUGUAUUAAUUUGCAGAUUUAAAUUGUGUUUUGCCUGAGUUUUCUUUAUAAUCCUUACUUUAUAAUUUUUUUAUGUAAAAAUUUUUAAGUAUAAGUUAUGUUUGAACUAAGCUUGAGGCAUGUAAUGUUGAUCAUACUGAAGCAUUUGAUGAGGAUUCUAGUAUGAAUUUAUGUUUACAGUUAUGAUACAUGUGUAGGUCAAGUUUUGGUUAUUGAAACAGAAGUGUUUUUAUAUGCUAUGCUUGUGUGAUUAUGUAUGGAAUUAUAUCAGGUGUAACAAGAUGUCUAGUAGGUUUGCUAUGAGUUUCGGCGAUCUUAAGUUGAUUUAAACUCUAGCGCCGAUAGUGGUCCAGUUUCCAGAUCGUUACAGAAAUUUUUGGAUAGCAGGAGCUCAAGAGUAUCCUGAUGCAUACUAUAGAUCCAUCGAUGUAAGAGAUGUUGCGUAUGCACACAUUCAAGCUUUGGAGAUUCCUUCAGCUAGUGGCAGAUAUUGUUUAAUUGAAAGAGAUGUCCACUUCUCUAAGGUUCUGAAGAUUGUGCAGCAACAUUAUCCUACAUUGCACCUUCCAAAAAAGUAUGGUUUUUGUAUAUUUUUGCAUGCUCAUGUUGGACCAGCUAUAUGAAUGGCUAAGAUCUAUAAUAUUUUGGAUAACUGAGAAAUAGUUGUUUUGAAUGAUUAAUUUGAUCAUGGAAUAUCAUCUGAGUUGCAGAUGUGGAUCCGGAUUGAAUUACUUAACAAAGUAUGGGGUAUCAAAGGAAAAGUAAAAACUUUGGGUAUUGACUUCAUUCCUUUGGAGGUUAGUUUGAAGGACACUAUUGAAAGCUUGAAGGAGAAGAGCUUCCUCAGUAUUUGAUUUUGGCUGUCGGAUAAAAAGCAAUGCAAAUAUUACAUUGGCCUUUCAGGUUCAUUGGCUUUAGCUUCCUAUUGGUGCAAGAUAUUAUUGCCCUUCAGGAUUGUCUUUAUUUGAAAAAAGUGGACCAAUACAAUUUGUAAAAUUUAUAACAAUUUGUAUACAACUAUAUAUAAACAUAUUACAUGCGUCACUUGUUUCACUGGUAGAUGAAGUUCAUUUCAGGUCUGAUUUCUGAGGAAGUUGCUCUUUUUUUUAUCUGAUUUCAUGUCUCAUUCCAAAGAAGACACAAGAAAAAAAAAAGUGUAAUCCACCAAUUCAGAUUUAUUUCAGUCUUUUCAAAGUAUAUUCAGAUUUCAUAGCCAAUUCAUUUAAUGCUGUAUCUGAUUUCUGGUUCUUGUGAUACGCUCUUACAAAAUUCAUCUAAAAUUCAGUGCUCUUACACAUUCUGGAAACACAAUUUAUACAAAAACUGAUUUCGCAGGGAAAAAAGGGAAAAUAAUGUUAUUUGCAUUGAAUGAGCAAAUGAUUAGCAUAGUAGCAAAACUACUUAAAAUAAGAGAAAUUAGAAACAAAAAAGCAGCACAGCAUGAGUCGGGGCAUUGCAUGUUGGAUGAUCGAAACAGAGGUCUUGAGCGAGAAUCUGGAUCCUGAAAUACGCAGGCCUGCAAAAAGUCAUUCGAAUAAGUGUGCAAAACUCCCAUCAUUCAGCUUUCAUUUCUACUUCCGCUCAGCAGGAUUACUAUGUACUGAGUUGUUUUCUGAACUGUGACAGAUAGGAAACUUAUCCCGGUGAGUUUUUAUUCCGGUAUGUCAAGGGCACAAUGCGCAGCUUAGUGAAUCUCCAUCAUCUUUGCCACAGGCGUAAGUUAUGAAGAUAAUAGCUAGAUGGAGGAUUUUCACAGUAGUGAUUUAGCAUCUGUUUCAAGCCAGAAUCAUCAUUAAAUCACAGAUUUGCUUUACAAGCAAUAACUAGGGGGAUUUCAUAUUACAAGUAGAGUCUUUAUAACUUACUGAAUCGAUUAUUUUUGAAGACAGAAGAAGAGGAGAGCUCACGUUUUGUUUUUACUGCACAAAUACUGCAUAUGGAAUCUGAGUGAGAAGUUACUCUCUAAAAAUUUCAAAAGUGUUUUUGAGAGGUACCUUUGCGUGAAUCUUCUGGCAACAGACUCAAAGUAGUCAUCCAAUAAGUAGAAAUUCUUCUAUGGAAGGCCACACACAUUAAUAGCAGUUCUUUCAAGGCGAAUUAUGCCAAGCCAAUCAAGGAAUUGCUGCCAUGGCAUGUAGUUGUGGUUUCUUAAUGUGUUCGAGUAACUUCUGCACAAUGAAUCAAAUUAAUCUUUAAAUCCGUGAAAUUAAAAGGGAUGCAGAAUUACAAAACUAAUAAUAAUAACAAUAAUAAUAAGAUGGAUAGAAGCAUGACCUGCCAAUGCAUGAUUUCGGCAAGCCUUUGCAUUGGUUCACCACUUCCCAAUGUAUUAAGAAUUUCAACAGCAUCCCAGAAUUUCAAUAGCAUACCAAUGAUAACUCAUACUUGAUGAGCCUUGAUGGAGAAAUGAAAGUCCAGUUAAAAUUAUUCAAAAUGCAUAUUCACUCGCCAAGAACAUAUGCACCCAGAAAUCUCCUUAAAUAAGUAAGGUUUUAACAAGGUGAAUGCUUUGCUUUUUCUUUUUUUGGGAAGAACUUCAAAGUAAGCAAAGGUAAGACUAUUGGGUUUUGAUGUUUACCUUGUGUGGGAGAAAUAUGAUGUUUACCCAGAAAUCACAUUUUGUUUUCAGAAUAAAUGGUUUUUUCCACCUCUGCAUUUGACAAUGAAAAAACUUGAAUAAAUACCAAAUAAUUAAGAUAUGCUGCUGAUUUAAUUUACAAAGGAAUGGUGCAUGUGAAGAGAAAUUGACAUAUGACAAUCACCUUC